rnacentral:lncRNA from 1 species
CAAAAGUUUAUGAAUUGUUCAAAACUUGCCCUCAAGUUUUGGAAUUUGUAAAGUCUCACACAAACUUUAAUUCCAUACCCUAGAAGUUUUAAAAGUUAAAAUUCUACCCUUAUACUAUUAUAAGAUUAAUGGUUAAUUAUUAUAUAUAUGUAUAAGAACAAGUCGUUUUACCGUUAGUAGGCCUCAUUCACGAAGCCGGUCUAUAAGGUGGGUAUAAGGUUGUUGCCUAUAAAAUGGCGACUUAAUGGGUGUCUACUCUCACCCACCGCUUGCUUGAUCGGUGGAGGGUCGUUAGCCGAACGGGUAGGACAAUGACUUUAAAUUCUCAUUAAAAGUAUAAUGAUUAUUAUAAAGUAACUAAAUAUUUUUUUUAUUUAAUUCCCAAUCUUAGUUACUUUAGGAAAAAUGUGAAUUUGGUGCUAGCCCAUGGAAUUCACACUUUGUACCUUACCAAGUCGUUGGUGGAGCGUGUGUGGUUAACCGGCACACUAACUUGGACUAGUAAGGAUCACGAAGGGUGACUUAAUGUUUGUCAUAGAUCAAUGGAGCGUGUGUGGUUAACCGGCACAUUGAUUGGGUGAUAAUAUUAAGGGUACCAAGUGAAUUGGUAUGGUUAUUCACACCUUGUUUUGUGAUCCUCGGCAUCCCAGUCACAAAAUUUGAGAGGGCACACUCGAGAUUGAAACAUGCCAUUGAAAAGUUCAAUGAAUCUCAAAAGAUCUAGGAAUUUCAAAUCCAAUUAAAACCUAAUAAAUUAUUUCGUUUUUCAUGGUGGAAAUUGGUGAAUCGUCAUUCGCCUACCUUCAAAUAUUUUAUAGCUUGGAUUACGGCAUCCCUCUUCCAAAUUAUAAAAUAUUGUGUUGGGUCCUAGCCUUAAUAUUUCAUAUUGGGUGUUAUAUUAAGGACUUUGAAUCAACUAACUUGAUUUUCUCCCAUUAUAGAUGUCUGGUUCAGACAACUAUGAUCUUCCCAAAUCUCUUGAAGAUGGUGUCCCUCAACAUCAUGCUUCACUUCCUCCACCUCCUCCAAUUAUUCUCCCUCACCCACAAGUUCUUGAAAAGUUUAAAGUCACUCAAUCCCUAUUGGCAAGCAUAGUCUAUGUGUGCUCACAUCUUGGAGAUAAAGUCACAUAUUGACAAGCCGGGAGAGUUGGGUGUCAAAGUCUCGUGAAAGUUGGAUGUUCAAUCACUUUCUUAGUAACAUAGUGAGUCUCUUUGGGACUACUAUGAGACAGACUAUGACAUGACCCUUAAUGAUGUUAUCUAUUUGCUUGGUGUUGUGGAAUCAGCAAUGAUUUGGAACACCAGUAAAGCAAAUUUGAUUAAAAGAACAACUUCCCAAGUCUUAAAUGGACAUUGACAAUGGUAGCAUUGGAUAUCUAGAAAAGGAUUUCUCUUCCCAAUGGAAAGGGAUCGGCCAUAGUCAACUCGGUUGACCAAAUGGUAAAGAGAAAGGCUAAGUCUGAGAUAGUCUCAUGUGCCAUUACCAAAGGGUCCAUGUGUUUUGUUGCCAAAGGAAGGGGCAUUGGUUGCGAAGCUGCCCUAUUCACCUGAAAGGUCAUAAGGUUGAUCAAGUCAAGAGGUUUGACUCUACUUCGGGUAAAGUCCACUGUCUAACUCUAUUAAGUUCCUAUUUGGAGAUUCUUAUUACAUAAUGUGAAUGGGUCACAUGCUGAUGUUUUUAAGAAUCAAAGAAAAGAUAGGAAGCUUAAAGUAAGUAUAUGUUGAUUCUGAUUGCAAAGGUGGGUUUCGAUCGCAUGGUUCGGCAAUCAGAAUUUUGAGCUGUUGCUUAAGAGUUAUAAUAUAUUGCUUAUGAAUAGAUAACAACAAGGUUUUCAUGUGGAUUGUAAGGAUAAGUUUUUCCGCAAAGUUUUAAAAUAAAAGAAAAAAAGGGUUUUAAUUUUAUUUAUUUUAAAAAUAUCCUUACAAUGGCAUCUGUGGAAAAUUGUUGCUUAUAUGUUUCCAGUAAUAGCAAUAUUGGAAAGUGGAUUUGAUUCUUUCAUUUGUGGUAGUGUCUGAAUUUACCAAAUGAAGAAAGUUUUUCAUCACCCAAGUUUCAAUUGGACAGAAACUUGGAAUCAUACAAGUUGUAUUGUAUGAUGAAUGAGAAUUUUCAUCUUUGAAAAUUAAGACUAAUUCUUUGAUCACAUGUAUAUGUGAGUCAAUUGAAGGACUAAGGAAUUAGGUACACUGGGUGUGCGCUGGUCAAGGUCCACCACAAAGAUUGAUUUGUCAUGAUUUACUAAAGAUUAGUAAAUAUGAUUAUACUUAUAAGGUUAAGUAUAAUUCUGUAACAUUGGAAAGGUUACAAUGUAUGACAAAACAAAUGAGAAGAAUCAAAUUAGGCAGAAAGAUAAAAGUUUCUCAAAUCUGAAAGGAUGGGAGAGUACUUUAGUAUCGUAUUUCAUGAUCAUCUUAAUGAUUAUGAAACCAUAUCACAAAUUCAUACUCUAAGGACGUCUUAGUGCAUUGUUAUGGCUAAGAAGAGAGGUCAUGAAUUGUUGGAUUGGUUAAAAUCAAGAAGAUGAGUCAUACUUCGUUCCAAAACAAUUCUUAGAGUCAUACUCCAAGAUUGUAACUUUGAGUGACAUAAAGGAAGAUUUAUUAACACUAGUCAAAUGUAAGAGUAAAAUGUUUUCUACUCUUGUACAUUUGAGAUUGGUAAGUUGUGAUGUCUUGGAUGAGACAAAGACCAACUAAGACCAAUUGUGUGAAGUGUUAGUCUUGAUAAGAAUCCGCACUAUCCCUUGAAUAUUUGUUUUGUCAAGGAAUGGUUCUUGACUGGGGAAACUUAUAUGUCAAGGGGACAGUGGGAGCCUUAAAGAUCCUGAAAGAGUUUCAAGAUUUAAUCAAGAGUAAAACCUGUAAUUUAUCACUAGCACACGACUUAAGGUUUGCAACCUAUCGUGUUGACAUAAUUCUUAUUUCUGUACCUACUUCAAAUAAGUUGAAUUUGCAUGUGAGUUAUCAGAGUUCAACUUGGAAGCAUUGGUGGGCCUUGUGCUACCAAGGUGACAAGAAACUAAGAUUGAACAAGUUUAAUCCAUGUAAGGCUGAAUUUGUCACUAACCUUAUCUUGUGAUUAUGGUUUUGACAAAUUCACAUGGAUAGGAACUCAUACACUAUAAAAUCUAAGUGUCAUAAGGUUUCUCUCCGAUUCAUGAAAAUGAUGGUGAGGAAACGCUUUCAUUAAGUAGAUUUUACGUAGAUAUCAAUUGUGUUAUUUGCAUUUUCAAAAGUCGUUAGUGGAGCGUGUGUGGUUCACCGGCACACUAACAUGGACUUGUCAGAAAUGGCAACGGUCUAAACAAUUAUGACUAUGAUUACGGUAUCCCUUUUCAUAGUUCUGAAAAUUGUUUAGACACACAUGUGAGCUAUCUAAGAAAGGGUGUAUGAAUCUAAAUUUCAGAAGUCCAGCAGAUUUCUGGAAAUAUGUCAGAGCUAGUGGGAGCAUAAGUGUUAUGCUGAUAAUCAUCAUGUUAGUGGGAGCAUGAUUAUUACGUUUAGUGUUGCAAGUUAGCAAUGUUAAUUAUAGAAAACAAAGUUUCAAUUCGUGAAGUUGCAGGGGUUGAAAAGUUGUUUUGCUAUAAUUAAGGGAGAGGAAAUUAUACUUCAUUUCAAUUCUAAAGCUUAGAUUGAGAUUUUAAUCAUCUUUAGUCAAGUAUAUAUAUAUGAAUUUUAUGUUGGAAUGGUUCAACUUGAAGAAAUUCUAUAUAUAUUGCGUUUUCAAAAUUCGAUUAUGAUUACGGCAUCCCUCUUCAUAGUUAAAUUUUGAAAACAUGGCAAAUAAAAAAUAUUGUAGCAAAAGACUGGUCUAGUAUCAUGUCUUUAUGUCAAACAUCAUGAAUCGUGUCCCAUAUGCUUCGGAUAUAGGAUCGAUUGCAUGUGCUAUAAUAUUCAUCUUUUCUAAAUUUUCCAAAUGCUUAAGGCAUUGAGAAGGGAAAAGUCUAGAACUGGAUAUGACUAAAGUGAUUAAGCAAUUGUCGAGGACAAUCUGAGGUUCGCCAAAGAUUGGUUGCUCAGGGAAAGUUGGAAGUAUGAUGUAAGUUGUCGGAAAGGACCAUAUUGACAUAUUCUGAAAAGAAGUAACUCUUGUUCGGAAGUGAUAGUCAAAAUGGGACUAUGGAAAUGUCUCCAUAGGUGGAAGUUAUUCAAUCUAUGUAAGAUUAGAAAACCUUAAUGCAAGAAGGAUGUUCAAAGCAAUGUACUUUGAAUAUGAGACUUCCGUUCCAUAGAAGUUGACCUUCUUUGGAAUACUCUGUAAUGACUGGUGACAAGGUUUUGGUGACUUUGUGCAUAAUCAUUACAAGAGGAACAUUGCAUAAAAGUUUAAAAUCUAACAGUUUUUUUGGUAAAUGAUAGGAAUCGGGGAUUCUCACAUUUACAAUAAGGAUUUGGGAUUGUGAAAUGAGUAUCAUUGGAAUCAUGUUCAAUUGAUCUACAUCACAAUGUAAGGAUCAUAGACAAACAUAGUGUGCAUACUUGGAGUAUGGCAUAACUAUUGUUUAGAAAAACAAAGUGUACAUGCUAGGAGCAUGGGACGACUGUUGUUUUUAUUCAAGUCUUAAGUUGAUUGUUUGAAACAUUAUACAAUGAAUAAUGUGUAAUCAAUAUGGUGAUAAAUAAAAGGUGGUUCUAUUUAUAUUCAAAAGGGUUCUGAGACCAUAUUGGAUUCGAUUAUUAUUGUGUUUCACUUUGCAUGUUUUGACUUCCAAAAUAGCUAGGUUAUUCUUUCCGAAUGACUAAGUUAUUUAAACACUCCACAGUCGUUCAUAUGUUGGAAGUAGGUAUGAAUCAAGACUGUCAUGAAUCGAGUUUGUAGAUGGCUAAAUGGGUUUAGUCAUAGCAAUGGUUGCUACAACAUUCAUGAGUGCUCAUAAGUUAUGAGUAUUGGAAUAAACCCACGCUCACUUGUAUCACUUCAUGGAAUUUAUCUCGAGUGAUCGUGAGACGGUAAUAUCAUAUAAAUCUUCAAACCUAGAGAUAUGAGUUGUUACCUAUGAGUUGGUUGUGCAUUGAUUGCACGUAAACGCAUCAGUAACUUGAUGUUAUAAAACGUGCCUUUGUGUACAAUUCAACAAGUAGUAGAACAAGCAUAUGAGUCGAAGUUUAUCUGUUCCUUCUAGAAAUAGAAGCGAUAUCUGGGCCCCUCGAUGAUUUUGUUGUGACCUAUGUACCGGCCGGUCAGAACUAAAUUGAUGUGUUCGAUUAAGUUCUUUGUCAAACAAAUCGAAAAUUGGGAAACAAACUGCUGGACAAUAAGUACGACGUUGUUCCAUGUAUUUGUCCGGCUGAUAUCAUGAGAACAGAGGAUUAUAUGAUCACUUAUCUAAAAUGGCGCUUCAUAGUUCAACAGAGUUUUCGAGAGCUACGAUUGCUGGUUGGUUCCUGAAGUAACAUACGCAAAUAUAGUUAUUAGACUUAUCCAAGUGGGAGUCUGUUGGAUAAGGUGUCUAAGUCCAUAACUUAUUUGGUACAUACUUGACCCGACCCGGCAUGGUCCAUUUGGGUUGCACUUCACCCAAACGAUUUAUGGAUAAUUUUAUGAGAAUUGUAUACUUACGAUUUAUUAAUAUAUUAUAAGUUAUAAUAUAUUAAUAUGAAGUCAUGUUAUUUAAUUAGUUUUAGUCUUAAAUUAAUUAUGAAUUAAUUUAGAGAUUAAAAAGAAGACUGAUUAAAUUAUGGGCUAUUAUAUUUUAUAUAGUGUGGGCUAAUACUCAUUUGUUAAUGGGCUAAGCUAAUAUGGAAGUCCAUGAAUGAUCCAUGGAGCUUUUAACCCAUGGAUCCUUGGAAAGGAAAAGACAUGGGUUAUUAGGGUUUCACCCUAAUCAUGCACACUAUAUAAAGAAGCAUAUGAUGCAAGAAAUGACGCUCUAGUUGUGUGAGACUUAGUGGUUGCCGAUUUCAUAAGAAAGUGUACUACUCUCUCAAAGUUUUCCAAACGUUUGUGGUGAUUUGUGAUUUCCAUUUGAGGCAUUCACACUAUUGGUGCUUGGCUCUCAAACUCCAUAGGAAUCAAACUCAUCAUAAGGUAUGUAAUCUCAUCUAAUUCUUUUAUGUUUAAAAGUACCCCAUGCCAUGUUAGAUAUGUUAUGAACCUUGGAAAAUUAUUAUUUUGCAUGUAUUUAGACAAACAUAGAUCCAAGGUUUAUUAGAGUUGCAUGCACACUUAGGAAGUGUUAGAUUGCUCAAAACCCAACAAGCAUAACUUCAGGAACCAACCAUUAAUUGUAGCUAUUUAAAACUUUUUUGGACUAUGAAGCGCCAUUUUAGAUAAGUGAUCAUGUAAUUCUCUGUUCUCAAGAUAUGAGCUGGUCAAAUACAUGGAACAAUGUCUUACUUAUUGUCCAGCAGUUGUUUCUCGAUCUCUGAUUUGUUUGACAUAGAACUAAAUUGAACACAUCAAUUAGGUUCUGACCGGGCCCAACACAUAAGUCAAAACCAAAUCAUCGAGGGGCCCAUAUAUCAUUUCUAUUACUAGAAGGAACAUAUAAACUUCAACUCAUAUGCUUGUAUACUAGUUGAAUUAUACCCAAAAUUAAGUUUUAUGACAUCAAGUUACUGAUGCUUUUUCGUACAAUCAAUGGAUAACCAAGUCAUAGUCAACAACUCACAUCUCUAGGUUUGAAGAUACAUAUGAUAUUACCGUCUCACGAUCACUCGAGAUAAAUUCCAUGAAGUGAUAAAAGUGAGCGUGGGUUUAAUCCAAUACUCAGACCUUAUGAGCACUCAUGAAUGUUGUAGCAACCAUUGCAAUGUCUAAUGCACCUUAGACAAAUCUUACAACCCAAAUUCAUGACAGUCUUAAUUCAAUAACUACUUCCAAUGUAUGACCGAAUCUGGAUAGUUUUGAAUAAAAUAAUUAUUCUGGAAGUCAAAACAUGCAAAAUUCAAACAAUAGUAAACGAUUAACAUAAGAUAGUAACACCUUUCAUAUAAAUAAACAACAACUUUUAUUUAAUCAUCAAAUGUCAAUUACAUUUUACAAGUUUCAGAAAUAGCUAUCUAAUUGUUAAAAUUAAUACUAUCUCUCAACCCUAUGCUCCUCGCAUGGUUCAAAUGUCUAACCCUAGUCAGUCCCUUCGUGAGGGGAUCUGCAGGGUUCUCUUCUGACGAUACCCACUUUGCCACAAGGAGUCCUUCUUCUGUCUUGUGUCUUAUGAAGUGAUAUUUUUUGUCAAUGUGUCUAGAUCUACCAUGAUCUCUUGGUUCCUUAGCUAAAGCAACCGCACUAUUGCUGUCACAGAAAAUCUCCAUAGGCUUCUAUAUAGCUAAUACAACUCCAAGGUCUCCAAUGAAGUUCUUCAGCCAUAUUGCCUCCUUUUUCGCUUCACUUGUUGCUAUGUAAUCUGAUUCACAAGUAGAAUCAGCUACUGUCUCCUGCUUGGAACUUUUCCAAGUAAUUUCUCCUCCAUUCAGGGUAAAGACCCAGCCUAACUGAGAGCGGAAAUUAUCCCUAUCAGUCUAAAAACUAGCAUCGCUAUACCCUGCUACUCUCAAGUCAUCACUCCUACCGAGGGUAAGAACCCAAUCCUUAGUCCUUCGUAGGUACUUCAGAAUAUUGUUUACCGCAGUCCAGCGAGCCUUGCCAGGGUUUUCCUGAUAUCUACUGACCAUGCUCAAAGCAAAGGCCACAUUAGGGUGAGUACAAGUCAUAGCGUACAUGAUCGAGCCAACAGCGGAAGCAUAUGGUAAUCGAAUCAUCUCAGCUAUCUCAGCCUCUGUUCUCGGUCUCUGAGUUUUACUCAGUCUGGAAUUAUGCUGGAUCGGUAGCUCCCCUUUCUUGGAAUUCUCCAUGUUGAACCUCUUCAACACUUUAUCCAAGUUGGUACUCUGACUAAGUCCAAUUAGUCUUUUACUCCUGUCUCUUAGUAUCCUUAUCCCUAGGAUAUUAGCAGCUUCUCUAAGGUCUUUCAUAGCAAAACACUUCCCAAGCCAAGACUUAACCUCCUGCAAAGUUGAGAUGUCAUUUCCUAUGAGUAGUAUAUCAUCCACAUACAGUACCAAAAAGCUAACUAUACUCCCACUAGCCCUAACAUAUACACAUGACUCAUCCUCGCUCCUCGAAAAUCCUAACUCUCUGACUUUCUCAUUGAAGCAAAGAUUUCAUCUGCGAGAUACGUGUUUAAAUUUAUAAAUGGAUUUCUCAAGCUUACACACCCUAUUAGGGUACUUUGCAAUGACAAAACCCUCUGGAUGAUUCAUGUAAACAUCCUCAGCCAACAUUCCAUUAAGGAAAGCGGUUUUGAGAUCCAUUUUCCAUAUUUCAUAAUCAUGAAAUGCAUCUAUGGCUAGCAAAACUCUAAUAUACUUGAUCUUUGCUACUAGUGAGAAGGUCUCAUCAUAGUCACAUCCCGGAGUUUGAGUAAAGCCCUUUGCCACCAGUCGCGCUUUGUAAGUAUGCACCUUCCCAUACAUGUUGGUCUUCUUCUUGAAGAUCCAUUUGUACCCAACUGUCUUGCGACCUGGUACAUUGUCAACCAAGUCCCAAAAUUGAUUGUCAUACAUAGACUAAAUCUCACUGUCCAUAGCCUCCUUCCAUUUAGCAGACUGGGGGCCUGCCAUGGCUUCCCUGUAAUUAUUAGGUUCAUCCAAAUCUAUCAGUGUACAGUCACUAAUAAAUGUGUCACCUUUAGUAGUGAUGUGAUAACCAUAAUAAAAAUCAGGUGUGUUCUUAACUCUAGUGGAUCACCUUGGAGGUACGGACUCAUCUAUUGGCUCAACAGGAGUUUCCUCGUCAGGUUGGUCGCUAGUAUUUGAGGUUCCUUCACUGCUUGACUCUUGAAGUUCUUCAAGGUCAAUUUGCCUCCCCCUGUCUCCUUGGCUUAUAAAUUAUAUCACGAAAGACUCCUCUUCUUGCCAUAAAGACCAAAUUCUCACUUGGUCUGUAGAAGAGGUAACCAAAGGAUUUCUGUGGGUAGCCAAUGAAAAUAUACCUCUCGCUUCGAGGUUCGAGCUUGUCGUGAGACUCAUUCCUAACGAAAGCCUUGCAACCCCAAAUCCUGAUGUGGUUCGUAUUGGGAACUUUCCCAGUACCCAUCUCAUGAGGUGUUUUGGCAACCUUUUUGGUAGGGACUAGAUUAAGGAUAUGGGCGGCAGUCUCUAAGGCAUACCCCUAGAAUGAGACUGAUAACAAAGCUCGACUCAUCAUGUAACGAACCAUGUCCAACAAGGUUCGAUUGCGUCUCGCAACCACUCCAUUCAGCCGUGGUGUCCUAGGAGGUGUCAAUUGUGAGACAAUCCCACAUUACUUAAGAUAGUCAAGGAACUUAAUACUAAGAUACUCUCCUCCCCGAUCGGAUCGGAGCAUCUUGAUGUUCCUGCCCAGUUGAUUCUCCACUUCCCGCUUAAACUCUUUGAAAUUUUCAAAGGUUUCUGACUUAUGCUUGAUUAAGUAGAUAUAUUCAUAUCUACCAUAAUCAUCAGUAAAAGUCACAUAGUAGCGAUUACCAUCCCUAGUGGCGAUUUUGAAGGGUCCACACACAUCUGUAUGUAUGAGGUCCAACAAACCUUCACCCCUCUCACAAGUACCAGUGAAGGGUGAAUUUGUCAUUUUCCAAGUAAAAAAGACUCGCAACUAUCAUCUGAAUUUAGGUCAAAUGAUUCCAAAACUCCAACCUUUUGGAUUUGGCCUAUGCGCUUCUUGUUGACAUGUCCAAGACGACAAUGCCACAAGGAUGCUUUAUCCAAGGUGAUCGAAGGAUCAAUAUGAAAUACAUUAUUUCCUAAGUUGUCUACAAUCGACACAAUUUCGUAUACACCAUCACAAGGUAAUAAUUUAAAAUAAAACACAUCAUUAUAAAAUGCCUCAACAGCACCAAUUUAAUUAUCAAAUGAAAAUGUGAAUCCUUGCUUGUACAAACUAUGAAGGGAAAUAAUAUUUCUUGCCAUUUCUGACGAGUAACAACAUUUAUUCAAAUCUAAAGUUAACCCAUUAUUAAGCAAUAAAGAAUAAACUCCAAUCUUGGUCACAGGUGAUGCUUUCUUAUUGCCCAUGAUUAAGUUUAUCUUCCCGUGCUCCACUUCUUCACUACUUCUUAGGCCCUGCAAAUCAGUACAAAUGUGAAUACCACAACCUGUAUCAAGCACCCAAGAGUUAGUAUGCAAUGAGUUUUUAGAAAAUAUGGUAUAAAUACCUGCAUGUGUGGGUUUAACUUUCCCGUCCUUUACAUCCUGCAAGUACUUAGGGUAGCUUUGCUUCCAGUGCCCCUUUUUGUGGCAGUAGAAGCAUUGUGCUUCCUUUGGGUUUGAAGAAGGUGGACUGGGACCUUUCUUGGUCCCACUUGAAGAGGAGCCAUCAAGAGACUUUCACUAGGUACCCUUCGAAGGGGUCUUCCCCUGCCCAAUUGCCAAAACAGGGGCUGUUGUAGGAGUAGGAAUAGAAGUAACAACCGAUUUACCUUUAAGACCACUUUUAGCGGUCCUUAAAAGUUCUUGAAGUUUGCUAAGUGUAACUUCCUCUUUGUUCAUAUGAUAAGUCAUAUGAAAAUGAUAUUAAUUUGGAGGUAAGGAAUGGAGAAUGAGAUCAAUCGCCAUGUCCUCAGGGAAGUCCAAAUUAAGCUUUAGUAACCAGUCCACGAACCUUUGCAUUUUCUUCAAGUGACUGGUGAUGGGUUCACCAUCCUUCAUCCUGGCUGUUAUCGUGGAGGAGAGGAUUUCAUACCUCUCUUGAUGCGCUUUGAUGGUACCUUUCCAUCAGAUCCUGUUGAUUCUCAUAGGGGUAAAAAUCUUCAUAGGAUUUCUAGAGUUCUGGAGUCAUAGUAGCCAACAUAAUGCAAGACACUUUAGUAGCAUCCCUCUCAUGUGCAGCACACUCCGCAAUCUCCACAGGAGUAGCAGUGGACUCAUUGAUAACCUUAAGCUCUUUGUCAAGGACAUAUUUCUUGUCCUCAUAGCGGGUAAUUAUUCUAAUGUUCCUAAUCCAUUCAUUGAAAUUAGAACCAUCAAAAGUGACUUUCCCACAAAAUUUCAUGAGCGAAAAGGAGCCUGUAGGUUUUGAGCCAGCAGCAGUGUUGGAGGACAUCUGAAAGAAAAGGACAUGUUUUAAUUAGAUAAAGAGUCCUUUAUAAGUCACCCAAAUGAAAUAUUAAGGCUAGGAUCCUACAAAGUAUUUCAUAAUUUGGAAGAGGGAUGCCAUAAUCCAAGCUAUAAAAUAUUUGAAGGUAGGUAAAUGACAAUUUACCAAUUUCCACAAAUAUAAACAAAAUAAAUUAUUAAGUUUUAAUUGGAUUUGAAACUCCUAGAUCUUUUGAGAUUCAUUGAACUUUCAAUGGCAUGUUUAAAUCUCGAUUGUGCCCUCUCAAGUUUGUGACUGGGAUGCCGAGGAUCACAAACAAGGUGUGAAUAACCAUGCAAAUUAACUUGGUACCCUUAAUUUUAUCACCCAAUUGAUGUGCCGGUUAAACACACACACUCCACCGAUCUAUAACAAAACUUAAGUCACCCUCUACCACACUUACUGGUCCUUGUUAGUGUGUCAGUUAACCACACACGCUCCACUAACUACUUGGUAAGGUACAAAGUGUAAUUUCAUGGGUUAGCACCUAUUUCACAUUUUCCUAAAGUAACUAAGAUUGGGAAUUAAUAAAGGUUUAGUUACUCGGCUAACGUCCCUCCACCAGUCAAGGAAGUGGUGGGUGAGAGUGGACACCCAUUAAACAACCAUUUUAUAGGCAGUAACCUUAUACCCCCUUAUAGACUGACUUCGUGAAUGAGGCCUACUAACGGUAAGACUGACUUAUUCUUAUACAUAUAUAAUAAUUAAACUUUUAAUAUUAUAGAUGUAUAAGGGUUGAAUUUUAAACUUUUAAAAUUCUAUGGUUCAAUUUGGAAUUAAAGUAUUAAUGUGUGAUAUUUUAUAAAUUCCAAAAUUGAGGGCAAGUUUUGAAACUAUUCAAGACUUUUCAACUUCAUAACUUAUGAGUUAAUGGUUUAUUAAAAUGAGAAGCUUUUCAUUUUAUGUAACCUAUGUGUUUUUAAUAUGGACUUUUAAAAGAGUGACUUUUGGUAAUCCAUAACUUGAGGACAAAUUAUGAAUUCCAUUAAAACACAUAAUUGAUCAAGAAUUAAUCAUUAACCAAUUCAGCAAAUAAUUCCUAUGAUCUAACAAUAACUAAGAAGAACAUGAACAUUCAUAUCAAAAUUUCAAGAAUCAUAUUAAUACAUAUAAAACAUGGAAUUUUGGUAUUAGCCAUUGUAAAAGGAUUGGAAUAACCAUUACACCAUCUAAAACAAGUUUUAAAACACCAAAACAGUUUAGGAUAAUGUUUCUACUCCAUUUCCAGUAGCAUAGCUUGAAAAACUGCACUCUGACAAGCCAACUUGUCGAGUGCAUGAACUGACUCGUCGAGUUGGUUGAAUAUAGGCAUGGACUCGGCGAUCCCACUCAGCAGAAUGCAUAAAACAUGAGUUUUUUCAACUAUCUGUAUCAAGUAUCAAGAAAACAAGCCUAGGAUCUGAUACCACUGUUGGAUUUUGAGUAUUCUAACACUCCUAUGGUAUACAUGCAACCCUAGAAACCUUGGAUCUAUUUUUUCUCUAAAAUACAUGCAAAUUUGAUUUCCAAGGUUUACAACCUAACUAGCAUGUUAUGGGGUACUUGUAACUCAAAACUUUAAGUAGAAUAACAUACCUUUCUUUUGUAGUUGAUUGCUUGAAUUUUUAGAGCCUAGCACCAAUAGUGUGGAUGCCUCAAGUGGUGUUACAAAUCACCCGAAACAACUUGGAAAUACUUGAGAGAAUAUGAAGCUUACUAAAAUCAGCCCACCCUUGUUUCUCACACACACUAGUCGAAUUCUAGAACCAAGGACCUCUUUAUAUAGUAUGGAGGAUCAGGGUUACACCAUAAUACCCAUGACUCUUCAUUUAUCUAGGAUCCAUAGGUUAAAAGCUCCAUGGACUUCCAUAUACUCUUAGCCCAUCCUAAAUAAAUCUUAGCCUAAUCCAUAUAUAUGUAAGAGUCCAUAUUUAAUUAGCCUCUUUUGAUCGUUAAAUUAAUUCCAAAAUCAAUUCUUGAUCAACACUAAUUAAAUAAUAUGAUUUCAUAUUAAUAUAUUAUAACUUAUAAUAUAUUAAUAGAUCAUAAACAUACAAAUUGUUAGGUGAAGUGCAACCCAAAUGGACCAUGCCGUGUCGGGUCAAGUUCAUACGAAAUAUAGUUAUGGACUUAGGCACCUUAUCCAACAUUUUUAUCCUAGAUAAAGAUCAACAUGAGACAAUGAUAGCAAUAAUAGUUCUACUCUUUACACUCAUAACUAUAGACCUAGCUCAAUACAACUAUCUAUUAAACCCAAGGAGUUAAUAGAAACGAAUCGUACCUUUGUGGUUUUCUUAGAAUUAUUUAGUCUAGCUAGUUAAUCGGAUUUGUGAACCUAAUGUAGAGUUUCUCUCAUGUGAUCACACUCAAGAUGUAAAACACCAACAGAUUAGAAAGCACCUUGAAAACCAGCAUGAGUUAAACUCAAUCAUAGGAUCUGAUUGAGACCGCAACGUGGCGACGAGCUACAGCUUAUCUAGGGUUUUUCUUAGGUUUGCUGACUUUUAAAGGUAAAUGGCUAUAAUUGUGUUGUUCCAAAAUCAGGAUUUGACUGCUUUAUUAUUACAGGGAUAUGAUUUGAAACCAUAAAUAUAAUUACCUAAUAUAUUAGUAAUCAUCUAGACUUUCGGUAAUUAUCCAUGAAACAAAUGUUUCUAGAAUAUUUCGUAUUCUUCAUGUUUUUUCUUGUAACUCCUACUUACUACUCCAUUUAAUAAGAGCACAAAACCUGACUGAGAAAGUUUGGAAAGUUGCAUCAACAUAUUCUUUAACACUUAUCUCUUCUUUACCACCAUACACUAAGAACAUAUAUUUAGUGCUUGUAAUAUACUUCAUAAUAUUCUUGAACACGAUCCAAUAACUCUCAUCAUGAUUAGCCUGAUAAUGAGUCAUCAUGCUAAAAGCGCAUGAGACGUCUGGCGUUGUACAUAUGUUGGCGUACAUGAUUGAUCCUAUAUAUAUAUGAAUCAUAUGGUACUCGACUGAUUUUGUCCAGUUAUCUACUAGUACUGGCAUAUUCAGUUAUAUUCAACACACUUUCGUGUUACAUAAGUACAAAUCCUUUCUUAAAUCUUCCUUCCUUAAUUACUUCUAGAUUUUAUCUAAGUAUGUGUUUUAGCUAUGUGCUAUCAGUCGCCUAGAUCUAUCAUUAUUAAUCUUGAUACCAAGUAUGUAUGUAGCUUCGCAUAUGUCCUUCAUAGUUAAACUCUUCCCAAGACAAAAUUUUACACCAUUCAGUGUUGGGAUUUCGUUUCCAAUAAGAAAAUUUUCAUUGACUAUAAGACUAGAAUGAAAAUUACACUCCCAAUAGAUCUAAUAUACACACGUUGUUCAUCUUCAUGUUCCACUCACGAGGUGCUUGUUUAAGUUUAUAGAUGGACUUCUUUAGCUUGCAUACUUUUUUAGGAUACUUGGACUAUACAAAAACUUGUGUCUGAACCAUAGAAACAUCAUCAAUCAAUUUCUCUUUAUGGAAAGCAAUUUUUACAUCCAUUUACCAUAUUUAAUGGUUAUGAUAAGCAGUUAUGACAAGUAGAAUCCUAAUUGAUUUAAUCAUAAAAAUUGGUGAAAUUUUUUCUUCAUAGUCGAAUCCUUGAGUCUAAUUAUAAUCUUUCACAACCAGUCAAGAUUCAUAAGUAUGCAUGUUCCCAUCCAUGUUAGUCUUCUUUUUGAAGACCCAUCAACACCUAAUGGUUUUAAGGCAUCAUGAUGGAUCAACCGAAUUCUAGAAUUGGUUAUCGAUCAUCAUCCAAAUCUCGAUUUUCAUUGCCUUAUUCAAUUUUGUAGUCUCUAGGAUCGCCAUGGAUUCAUGAUAGCUACACAACACAUUAUCUCCCAACAUAUUAUCAUCCUCUUGAGUAAUAAGGAAUCCACAGAACUUUGGUGGUCUCCGCUCUCUAUUAGAUCUAUGAGGUGGAGAUGGAUGUAUAUUAGAUUCCUUAUAAGGUUCUUUAACAUCUUGUUGAGGUCUGGUGUGAAUUCAGGUUUUCAUUAGCCUAUUCGUGAGUCUCAUCAAAAUCAACCUGGCUCCCACUAGUUUUAUUGAGAUACCAAUCCCCUUUCAUGAAAAAAUUCCCAACAACAACACAUAUCUUCGUCUCAGUAGGCUUGUAAAAUAAGUAUUUAAAGGAAUCUUUUUAGUAACCAACAAAGUGACACCUUUCAGAUUUGGAUUCAACUUUAUCGAGCACUUCUCGAUGUACGAAGCCUCACAACCCAAACCUUGAUUUGUGCAAGAGAUGGAUGAAUAUUUUUCCACAUUUUGAAUGGUGUCUUCUCAACCUUAUUACAUGAUUCGGGGUUUAGAAUGUGAGGAAAAGUUUCUAGGAUAAAAAUCCAGAAAAUAGCUGAAAGUAUAGCACGAGUUAUGAUAAAAUGAACCAUUUCUAGCAAGGCUCGAUUUCUACACUUUGAUAAGCCAUAUUGUUUUGGUGUUCUUGGUGGAGCUAGUUGUGAGACUAUCCUACAACUUCAAAAAUUAUAUUAGAAUUCAUCAUGAUGAUAGUCUCCAUCUCUAUCAGAACGAAAUGUCUUGAUUUUCUUACCUAGUUAGUUCUCUUCUUUGUGGAAUGUCUUGAAAAAUUGAAAUGUAUCAUACUUAUUUUUAAUCAAAUAAACAUAUCCAUAUCUACUGAAUUCAUCAGUAAAUAUGACAAAGUAUCCUUCACCAUGUCUAGUGACGUGUUUGAAUGUACCACAUACAUCCGAGUGGACGAUGUCUAACAAAUAGUUCACUCAAUCACAGUUACCUAUAAAGGGUGACAUUGUCAUUUUCUCAAGGUUGAAUGGUUCCAAGAUCCCAUCCGAUUGGAAUUUGGUGAUUCUCUUCUUGUUUAUAUGGCUAAGAUGAAAAUGCCAUUGACAUGACUUAUCUAAAUUAGUCCAACCAACAUUUAAGAUUAAUUUAUCGUUUUUCCUUACACCAAUCGCAAAAUGAUAUACGUCAUUGCAUGGAUUUGAUUUAAAAUAAAGAGUACUAUCUUUGUAAACCAAAAUACUAGCAUUGUUAUAAAAAAAUCCAAAAGUGGAACCGUCACUCCACAAAGCACAAAAUGAGAUCAUGUUUCUUGCCAUGUAAGGAAAAUAUCAACAAUAUAAUCAACUAAUUGAAAAACUAGACGGCACUGAAAGUUCGUAAUCUCUAAUCAUGCUAAUAUUUACCAUACUUUUGUUCCCCAUGAUUAAAUCAAGCUCACCAUGUUUAAGAUUACCACAUCCCUUUAGUCCCCACACAUAUGAAAAAAUGUGGUUUUCACAUCCUGUGUAAAGAAUCCAAUUAUUCGAAGUCGAAGCUUGAUGUAACUCAACAUAAAACAUACAGGAAGAGCCAAUACCCUUGACUCUGAUCUUCUUGAUGUCCUACAUAUAUUUUGGGUAGCUGUGUUUCCAAUGUCCCUUUUCUUAGUAGUAAUAACAUAUGGCCUCUUUGCGACAACUGAUUAAAAUAAGUCAUCAUUCACCGGUCAAAACUACCGCGAACCUACUAUGUAAUAAACUAAUGUAUUAUAUUUCUCACUUUGAAUUUAAUUGGAGUUUUAACACUUAGAAAUAAAUACGAAAUACCAUUUUAGUCUUUAAUGGAUCUAGAUGUUGAGAAAAAGAAAUUAUUCAUAGUACAUAAGUAACGAGUUAAUGCAUUAAAAAUAAGAUUAAGGUAUUAAGUAUUAUUAUGUACAAAUAAUACUCCAAAUAGAUAGAGCAUGAGAACAUGAAUAUGUGGAUAUAAAGAACGUCGAAAAUGAGGAUCGCACAAAAAAGUUACAACCAUUUAACGAAAACAAAUCAGUUAAGUACUUUUGAAUGCAUUUUGGGAAUCAGGCGAUAGCCUAAUAUUUGAUUCCAUUCACAAUAUUUCGUUACCACCAAGUCUUAAUCAUUUUACAAAAUUAGUGGAAAAGCUGAGACCAAAAAACAACUGAUUUAAACCUUUAAACGUGUUUUGACAUAGUUAUGUCCUUUAUUAUGAAAAUAUGUUUACAUAUUUUGAACUUUAAUUUCCCAAACAUUGAACUACUAUUUUCGAAAAAAUGUGAGAUGCCAUUUUUCAUUAGAAUUUUGCAUGCGGAUCGAGGAUGUGACACAUGUCACGAUUAGAAUGGUGACGUAUGUCACUCAAUGCUUGGUGCUAAUUGUCAACAAUGUUUUCAUCCACCUCUCUUCCAUCUCUUUAUAAAUAAGAGAGAUAGAGAGAGAGAGAGAGAUCACACCCCUUCUCUCUCGGUCUCUCUGUCUCUCUCCCCCUCUCUGUCUCUCUCUCUCUCUCUGUCUGUCUGUCUCUCUCUCUCUCUCUCUCUCUCUCUCUCUCUCUCUCUCUCUUUCUAUCUCUCUCUUUCUGCCUACCGGAAUCACAAUAGGUUGCCACACCUCCCCCUCCCCCUUAUAGUCGACCAUCUCCAGUAGCCACAUACUUCUUUCACUCCCUCCGAUCAAUAGCUCCCACAGAACAAACCACUGCUGAGAACAACCUCAAGCCAUCUCUCUCGACGAGAUUCCAGCAAAGUUCUGACGAUGAAAAACUUCCUCGCUUUGACAUGAUAUACAACCCUUUUUAAAUGUUCGUGGAAAAGAGGUGUUGUUCGUGAUGUGCUGAUCUGAAAUCCAAUUUCGGCAUCCAAUACAAAGUUCGCAACAGUUUAAGAGCACGCAUCAUCAGUGAGUUUCAUGACCCCAUUUUUAAACUUUCUAAAGCUUUUUGGGAGAGAAUACAUGCUAUAUAUAUAUAUAUANNNNNNNNNNNNNNNNNNNNNNNNNNNNNNUAUGAUGUUUUCAUGUUACAUAAAUGUUAAAUAUUUAUUUAUAUAUUUAAAAUUAUAAAUCUUAAAUAGUUAUUUAUAGUUAUAUAUUUAUCAAUCAGUAAAUAGUUGUUUCAUUGUCAAAAACAAUAUACACAUCUAUAUAGACUAUUACGCAUAUUUGGAAUUGUUGGUUUUUCGUUGGUAUAAACCUAGUUUUUACUUAAUUUAUAGCCUUAUGAUGCCCAAUUUUUUUAGGACUUUACAUGAUUAUUAGGCAGGGUUGAACCUUUUGUCUAGCAACUUUAUUAGUUAAUGUUAAAGAGACACACUCCUCAAUUUUAGAUUUGCUCAACUCAAGGAAUAUUGAUGAGAUAUCCAUUCAUCAAACCAAGAAUGAAAACAUAGUAAAAAUCCUAUUUACUAUAACCGUUAAUCAAGAGGAAGAGAGGAAGUUGUGUAUAGAUCUAUACAUGUUGACACCCCACCUGUAGUUGCUAGCUACAACCUUUCACUAAGGAGUCAUAAUGGGUGACAACUAUCCAUUUCUGCGAUUAUGCAUCGAUGAAGUGUUUGGAUAACUUUUUGCUUUGCACCCACUAAAGCAUUAUGGUGCAUUCACUAAAGCACCAAAUGGAGGCUUGAUCUAGUCAUAUAGCUUGGUUAUAGUUUCUUGGUAACAUAGAGUACACUCUGAAAACACUAAUAUAAGUAGGAAUAAUAAUUAUAUGUAGUCCAAGUAUAGGCUUGUAUGAUUUACAAGUACCUAUUUAGGUAACUAAUCAAUUGAUGUUGUGAACCCAUCUCAGAUAGUACAAUAUUUCUAAUAGUAAUAUCUAAAACUAAUUAUACCUAUAAUUAAUACACCAUGUGCAUGAUUUAUAUAAACAACAAAUAUUAGCAUCAACUAUUGAGUAUGUGAAUAGCUCAUCAGGUUACAAUAGAGUUUGAAGUCACAAAAAAAUUGAAACACAUAGAAAGCUCAAAAUGAAAUUCAAAAGAACCCCUAACUGCAUCCUAACGAAGAGUCUCUCCUAGUUGAUAGAUAAUUCAAAAAUGACCCCUUACUAAAAGUUAUUUUGUUGCAAAUAGCGAUGCAUUACAGUUUGGUUUUGUGGCAAUGAUAAGGCCUCGAGGCCAGUCAACUAUAACUUCCAUUGUAUAAAAAAACUUUGGGAAGUUAUUGUUCAUGAGGUAAUCAAAGUUGUCUAAUUCUUUACGGUGCAUAAGAUCAUCACCCCCUAUUAUAAUAAUUCCUUUAUGAUACUUGCUCCAAAUCUUCCAACCCGAUCAAACUCACUGAUUACAAGCCGAUUAAUACCAUUGAGUGCAUCACAAAGAUCAUAUAUAAAACUUUGUUGAACGCUUGAAAUGUGUUAUUGAUAGGGUAAUAGGAAAAUAAUAAACCAACUUUAUUCGAGGAAGAAACAUAAUGGAUGGACUAUGAUCAUUAAUGAAGUAAUUUCAUGGACAAAACGAGCCAAGAAGAGAAUAUUGAUGUUUAAAGUAGAUUUUUCAAAAAGAAUUUGGCUCCCUAAAUUGGAAUUCCAUGUUGAGAAGGGGUACCUGCUAAGGAAUUCCAUAUUGAGAAGUGUAUUAGGCAAGGGGACUCCCUUUACCUUCCUUCUUUAUUAUCGUUGUCGACGACAUCUGUGUUGCUAUGCAUGAAGUCGUUGAAAAAGGUGUGUUUAAAGGUAUUAAGUUACAUGAGGAAGGACUGGACCUCUAUAUUAUUUAGUACGCUGAUGAUGCUAUAUAUUUAGGAGAUACAUUUAAGAAAAACACACCUAAUCUUCUUCGCAUUCUAACAUGUUUCCAUGCGGCUUCUGGUCUUAAAAUCAACCUCCAGAAGUGUAAAGGUUUUGGAGUCGGGGUUAACUCCUUAGAGAUAGCAGGCAUGGUUCAAUGGUUGGGAUAUGAAGGCAGUUGUUUCCCUUUCGAGUACCUUGGUAUGUCGGUCGGAGAUGCAUGUCCUGUUUUGUGAACUGGGCUCCUCUUAUAGAUAGAUUUCAAAGCAAAUUACCUAGUUAUAAGGCCCACUAUCUAUCGUUUCCGGCAUGGUUAACAUUGUGCAAAUCAUUUUUGGGAUCUAUUGGUUCCUUCCUGUUUUCCAUGUAUAAAGCACCUGGUAAAGUCAUUUCCAAAUUAGAGAGCAUCACGGACACAUUUUUUUGGAUGUAAAGGUGAUGAAGAUUACUUAGAUAUCAUUAACAAAAACAAUGAAUUCUAAAGGUUAGGGAGGGGUAUAUGUGGGCAUCUAUUGUCCUUCCAAUAUUUCCCUCCUAACUAAAAGGUGGUGCAGGUUUAGUGUCGGUCCCGAAUGCCUUUAGAAGGAUGUUGUUAUCGUUUUAUACUAUUAUAAUGGGAGUCUCCACAUUAGUAAACCUACUAUACUUAGAUCCAUGGUAUGGGAAAAAAUUUGUGAUAUUAUUGAAGCUUUUCUUCCAUAUGAUUUAGAUUUAAAUGUUCUUUUUCAUCCAGAUAACAUUGUGGGAAAAUCUGAAAAUGAUUGUUGGAAUUGGUCUCUUGAUAAUGAUGUUUCAUUUUAUGUCUCAUCUCUAAGGAAAACUAUCGAUUCUCGGUGCCUGGAUUUUGUCCUACUGUCAUCACUUGGUGCAAGGUUGUUCACAUUAAAGUCUAACUUUUCAUUUGACGUUUAAGGUUGUACAGAUACCUAAAAAAGAGAAUCUGGCACGUGGAGGAGUUUCCAUUUAAUCCCUAAUUUUCUUUUUUUGUAAAUCAAAUCUCGAGAAUGAGGAGUAUCUUUUCUUGAAGUGUUUAUCGGCUAAGAAGAUUAUGGCCAACCUUCACAUGUGAUGGUCCGCCCUUCUUGUUUUGGCAAGUGUCAACUCCGUUGAAGAUAUUAUUGUUGGUUUAGAGAAUCUCAACUUCUCUCCAAGUCGUAAACUUUGAGUUAGUUGUCAAAUCUUUCUUGUGUUUUAUGUGGUCUUACAGAAAUGACAUAUGUUUUAAUGGUAAGGAGAAAAACAUUCAUCACUUAGUUGUUGAUAUAUUGUAUUUCACAUUUUUGUGGGUUAGUGUUGAGUUAGUUGAUAUCUGAUUCUUCAGACUUAUAAUUCAUUUGUGUAUCCUUUUAUGUCCUUAAAUUGUAUUUGUUAAUUAUUUAGGGUAGAUUGUGUUAGUUUUGUUUCUUGUGUUAGAUAUUUGCAGGAAGGGUGAUUUGUGCAAAGUUGGAGAAUGAUCUGGACUGCGGAGCAAAUCUGGAACAUAUCAAGCAGGAACAUGCCGGUUGUAUUUGUUUGUAAUCGGGUUGACAUGAUGUAUAAACAAGUGCUUUGUGUGUGUGUUUGAUUCAUUCUUGAUUGAUCAUAUUCCUUGAGAGUUCACUCUUCUCUCUCUCUUUGAGUAGUUCGUUUAGCUCUGUAAUUGAUCAUAUCUUGUUAGAGUCGUUCUUGUUCCUUUUGGUUGUCUCUAUAUUUAAUGAAUAGACUAGAACAUAAAUCUAAGGGUUGAGUGUGAUUGUAGUGAGCUUUAUUUUGUAAGUAGAUGAAAACCAAUUGAUUCUUGCUUGAAUAAGAAUUGUUGAUAUUGUGAUAUCUUGAGUCUUUAUAUUUUAGUUUUCUUUAAAUGGUAUCAGAUCCUGGUUCAGCGUUUUUUGUUGUUUCUUUUUUAGGAUUUCUGAUUAGGUUUUCGGUUAGGGGUUGUGUCUCGAUCUAGCUCUGGUUUGCUUCCGUUGUUAGUGAUUCAUAUUAGGGUUUGUGUCUAUCUAGUUCUGUUUUCAUCGGUCUGUAUCAGAUCGUGAAGGUUAUUUGUUGAUCCGUUUUUGGAUCAUGAAGUUGUUUCUCCAUCAAUUAUGGUGUUAUCUUGUCACUAUCUUGAGAGUCAACAUCAAGAUUGUGCAAACAGGGUAUCAUUAAUAGAGUUGGUGUUAGGCAUUUUAAUGCCAUGUAGUGGUCAGUGGUAGAUCUUUUGGUAUAUCGAAAUGACUUAGCUGCUUGUUGUGUAAUUUUUUAGUUGAUCAUUGUAAGUGUUUGCAUGCUUUCGCUUCUAUUUCUUACUUUUGUGUUUCUUUGUGGUGUUUUAGAUCUAUCAUCUAUCUGCUAAUCUUAGUUGCUUUACGUCUAUAUCUCAUCCUGCUCUGAUCUUAUAUGGUUAUGAAUUUGGACUGAUUUACAAAAACUGUUUGUAAACUUCUAAGGUUAGGGCUUGGAUUCGUGAUUUUUCUAGUGUCUGAUUCUUUGUAGUAAUGACUGGUGAAACACCUGAAGGAUCUUCUUCUGGUAAAUCUGAAACUGUUGAUUUUGAUGAUCCUUUGUAUCUUCAUCCUUCUGAUUCUGCUAGUAGUACUAUUAUUAGUUUUGAACUACUAGGAACUGAGAAUUUCAGAGUUUGGAAAAGCUCUAUGACUAGAGCUUUGAAAGCUAGAAAUAAAAAGGGAUUUAUUGAAGCUAUUGAAAUUUAGGAUAAAAAGGAUCUUGUUAGAUCUCUUAAGUGAGAAAGGGUAAAUGCUAUUGUCUGUUCUUGGAUUCUUAACUCCUUAUUUGAGAAUAUCUAUAUUGGUCAUGUAUGCUCUGAGUUUGCUUUGGAUAUUUGGAAUGAUCUAUGUGACACUUAUUAUAAGGCUGAUGGAUCUGUUGUUUUUAAUGUCCAUUAACAAAUAAAUUCUCUUUCUCAAAACGGUUUGUCUGUUUCUGAUUACUUUAACAAACUUGAUGGUCUAUGGAAGGAAUUUGAUAGUUUAACUAAGUGUACUGAGUGUGUUUUGGAUGUUGCUGUUCAAUCUAAAGUCAUUCUAAGCUCAUGCAACUUAUGCAAUUUUUAAGUGGUUUAGAUGAGUCCUUUAAUCAGGUCAAGAGUCACAUUUUUCUAAUGGAACCUUUACCUGAUGUUAAAACUACCUUUUUUGUUGUGUCUAGAGAAAAGUCUAAUAAAAAAUGGAUCUAGUUCUGUUCAGUCUAACAAGAGUAGCUCUUCUUCAGCUUUUGCUGGAAAAAUUAAUGAUAACAGGAAAUUUAAAGGUAGAAAUCAAAAUUUGGUCUGUAAAAAUUAUGGUAUAAAAGGACACACAAUUGAAAAGUGUAAUAAACUUAUUGGGUAUCCCAAGGAUUUCAAAUAUAAAUAUGAUUUUAAUAAGGUUUCUUCAUCUGGAACUGCUUUCCCAUGUUAGUUCACAUGUAAGUGAGAAUUUUAAUUCUUCGGUAACUCCUUCUGAUAAGUCUAAGCAACAUUUUUUGACAAGUGAACAAUUUUCUAAUGUUUCGUCUCUUCUUAAUGAGAAACUAUCAUUAGAAGAUGUUACUGGAAAUGCCAACAUGGCAGGUAUGAUGUGUAAUAAUGUUUCCUUUAAAAAUAAAAAUUGGGUUGUUGAUUAAGGAGCUAGUCAACAUAUGACUUCUUCUGAAUCACAACCUUUUGAUAUGGUUGAUGUUUCCAAGCUAAAAUUAAAGGUGGAUCAUCCUAAUAGACCCACUAUGAAGAUUGACAAAAUUGGAAACAUGAAUCUUUCGGAUUCUAUCAUCUUAACUGAUGUUUUUGUUGUUCCUGAUUUCCAUGUGAAUGUCUUAUCUAUUCAUAAGUUGUGUAAGGAAAACAAAUGUAAAGUUACUUUUGAUGAAAAUAGUUGCUAUGUUCAGGAUUCUCUCUCCAAAAUGACUGUGCAGAUUGGUAAAGAGUUUAGAGGUCUUUACUAUCCUGAAAACAACAAUAACUCUCUACGUAGGUCAAGUAUUGUUAAUUGUUCUAAGUGCUUUGUGUCUAAACUUACAUGGCAUAAUAAGUUAGGUCAUCCUGCUUAUAAGGCUUUAAUUGUGUUAAAACCUGUUCUUAACUUUGAAAAUGAAAAUGUUAUGCCAUGUGAAGUUUGCCAUAAGGCUAAACAAACCAGGGAACCUAUUCCGUUAAGUGAGCAUAACACUAGUAAACUUGGUGAACUUAUUCAUCUAGAUGUUUGGGGUCCUUAUAAAGUUCGUACUGUUGGUGGUUUUAGGUUCUUUAUCACUAUUGUUGAUGAUUUUACUAGAGCUACCUGGGUUUAUCUUUUGAAGUAUAAAAUUGAUGUUUUAUUUUGUUUCCAAGAGUUUCAUGCUUUAGUUGAAAAAUCAAUUUAGUGUUAAAAUAAAAACAAUCAGGUCUGAUAAUGGGUCUGAGUUUGUGAAUUUUAUUGUGAAAACUUCUCUUGAAAGAAGGGGUAUUGUACAUCAAACUUCAUGUGUUCAUACUCCACAACAGAAUGGUGUUGUGGAGAGAAAACAUAGACAUAUUCUAAAUGUUUCUAGGUCUCUUUUAUUUCAGUCUGGUUUACCUAGAAAGUUUUGGGGAGAUGCGGUUCUUAAAACUGUUUUUUUUAAUAAAUAGAACUCCCUUUUCUGUUUUAAAUGGUAAAACUCCCUUUGAUCUUGUUUAUAGUUGUGUCCCUGUUUUUGAUAAAAGCAGAGUAUUUAGAUGUUUCUGUUUUUCAAAUAAACUGGGUAUUAAAGAUAAAUUGUCUGAAAGAUCUGAAACAUGUAUUUUAAUUGGUUAUUUAAAUGUUAAGAAAGGGUAUAAAUUGUUUAGUCUUGAUAGUGGAAUGUCUUUUUUCUCAAGGAAGGUAAAGUUCUAUGAGUCUGUUUUUCCUUUUAAAAUGGCUUCAAAAUCUGUCGCCUUUGUUGAUUCUCUUGAGUAUCGUUCUUUGAAUGAUCAUGGUCCAUGGGAUCCUUUUUCCAAUGAUGAAAUUUUGUUGUCUGAUAAUCUUGAUGAUAGUCAAGAUUCUAGAAAUUUAAAUGGUACUUAUCAGGAGGGUGAUAUUAGUGUUGAUCAACCUGUGAGUGCAACUGAUUCCAGUUUUGAAGGUAGUUUAAAUAGAACUGCAACUCUUCCUGAUUGGGAAGGUUCUCGAGGUUGUGAAACACAUGGUUCGCAACCUGAUCUAGUUACAUUUGAAUCUCUAGACAAUUCUGAGGAAAAUUUAGUUUCAUCUCCUUCUGAUAGUCAAUCUUUGAGGAGGUCUCAUAGAAAAUCUAAAUUUCCAAAAAAAUUUAGUGAUUAUGUUAUUGAAGGAAAAUAUAAAUAUGGAAUUGAGAAUAUGUUAACUAUUCCUUUUUGGAUUCUGAAAAUAGAUAUUUUUUUUACUAAUCUUAACAAGAGUGUUGAACCUUUUUCAUAUUAUGAAGUUUCCUUAGAUCCCAAUUAGGUUAAAGCUAUGAAUGAUGAAAUGGAAGCUUUGUAUAGAAAUAAAACUUGGAUUAAUUGUGAUUUGCCUUAUGACAGGAAACCAAUUGGUUGCAAAUGGGUCUAUAAGAUUAAAUAUAAAUCAAAUGGUGAGGUUGAAAGAAAUAAAUCUAGGUUGGUAGCUAAAGGCUAUAAUCAGAGAGAAGGUUUAGAUUAUGAAGAAACCUUCGCUCAUGUAGCUAAAAUGGUUACUAUUAGGAUUGUUAUUACUAUUGCUGUUAAUUCUGGACGGAAAUUGUUUCAGCUUGACACUAAUAAUGUUUUUUUUAUAUGGGGAGUUAGAUGAAGAUGUUUAUAUGUCCUUGCAUCCAGGAUAUCAUGAUAAAAGCAAUAAUCAAGUCUGUAAAUUGUUGAAAUCUUUUUAUGGGCUUAAGCAGGCUCCAAGAAAGCGGAAUGAAAGAUUAUGUGGUGCUUUGUUUGAAUUUGGUUUUGUACAAAGUGUAGAAUGAUUUUUCUCUUUUUGUUAAGUAUAGUAAUAAUUGUUUCCUUGCUCUUUUAGUUUAUAUUGAUGAUAUUAUACGUACUGGUAGUAGUGUUGAUGAAAUUAACAAAGUAAAGAGUUUUUUAAAAUCUAAGUUUCUAAUUAAAGAUUUGGGAAAAUUAAAGUUUUUUUUGGGUAUUGAGGUUGUAGAUAUUCAUAAUGAUAUUUGUUUGUGACAGAGAAAAUACUGUAUUCAAUUAAUACAUGAAUUUGGUAUUUUAGGUUGUAAAGUUGUUAAAAUUCGUUUUGAUAAUAAUGUUGUUAUUAGAGGAGACGGCUUGGAUAAAAAUGAUAGUUUAAUUCCUAAUGUUGUUUUGUUUCAAAAAUUGGUUGGUAAACUAAUUUACUUAACCAUUACCAGGCCAUAUAUUUGUUAUUCUAUGCAAGUUUUAAGUCAAUUCAUGCACAGUCCAAGAAAGUCUAAUUUUAAUAUUGCUAUAAGACUUCUGAGGUAUUUAAAGAAUAAUCAUGGAAGAGGUUUUUCUAUUGUGAAAUCAGAUGCUUUGUGUCUUAAAAGUUUUGUUGAUGCAGACCAGGCAAAAUGCCUUGUUUCAAGGAAGUCUGUAACAGGGUUAUGCAGUAUUUUUUGGUAAUAAUCUUGUUUCGUGGAAAAGUUAGAAACAUGAAACUAUUUCCCGCUCGUCUAAUGAGUCUAAAUAUCGAUCCCUUGGUAUCCUAUCUUGUUAAAUAAUGUGGAUUCUGAAAGUUCUUUUUGAUCUUGGAAUUAAGAACAAAACUCAUGUUCCAAUACUUUGUGAUAAUGAAUCAGCUAUAAAGCUUGUUCUUAAUCCUGUAUUUCAUGAGAAAACCAAACACUUUGAUGUUGAUUUUCAUUUUAUUAGAGAUCGUGUUUCAAAAGGAAUUAUUGAGGUUUUAAAAUUUAGUUAUGAUAAUAAUUUGGUUGAUAUUUUUACUAGAGCUUUGAGUGUUUCUCAACAUGAAUUGGUUUGUCAAAAGUUAGGUCUUGUUGACCCUUUCCAAGGAAUUUACUAAUGUUUACUUUGAAUUUUAAGUUUGAGGAGGGGUGUUGAGUUACGUGAUAUCUGAUUCUUCAAACUUAGAAAUUCAUUUGUGUAUCCUUUUAUGUUCUUAAAUUGUAUUUGUUAAUUAUUUAGGGUAGAUUGAGUUAGUUUUAUUUCUUGUGUUAGAUAUUUAUAGGAAGGGUGAUUUGUGCAAAGUUGGAGAAUGAUCUGGAGUGCGGAUAAAAUCUUGAAAAUAUCAAGCAGGAACAUACGGGUUGUAUUUUUUGUAAUCGGGUUGAUCUGAUGUAUAAAUAAGUGUUUUGUGUGUGUGUGUGUGUGUUUGAUUCAUUCUUGAUCGAUCGUAUUCCUUGAGAGUUCACUCUUCUCUCUCUCUUUGAGUAGUUCGUUUGAGUCUGUAAUUGUUCAUAUCUUGUUAGAGUCGUUCUUGUUCUUUUUGGUUGUCUGUGUAUUCAUUGAAUAGACUAGAACAAAAAUCUGAGGGUUAAGUGUGAUUGUAGUGAGCUUUCUUUUCUAAAUAGAUGAAAACCAACUUAUUCUUACUUGAAUAAGAAUUCUUGAUGUUGUGAUAUCUUGAGUCUUUAUAUUUUAGUUUUCUUUAGAGUUAGUUGUAGAGGUAGAGGUUUUGGAACCUUAAGUUGGGAACCUAGGCUCUAGCCUUAUGUAUUUCUUCCGGUUUCUAGUUAGUUUUUUUUUUCAAAAAAAAAAAAAAUGCUACACGUCUUGAAAUGGAGAGUUUUCAACAAAUCAACAAAGUCUGAAUAAAUUAUAUAGGGUUUUCAACAAAUCAACAAAGUCUGAAUAAAUUAUAUAGGAUAUAAAUUACAUUAUAGUGAUGACCAUAUUAACGAGUUAUUACCCAACAAUCAUUUGAUUUAUGUAUUAUUUUGAGAAAUAUAUGAAUCAAUUAUAAGAUACUUCCUACAUGAUACAAACGAAAAUCGAUAAAUUCAAAAAAUCAUUAUCAAUCCUAUUAAUAAAGUUCGAAUUAAAAAAGCAUACUAAACAUAUAGAAUUUUAUAUUUCAAAUUGAUCUAUUUAUAUUGAUAUUUUUACUUUUUACAUAAUAUUGAUUACAUGAGAAAUGAAAUCGGAUGUUGCCGUGUAAUUUCCUACCAGCCACCACCAUUAAAAAAUUAUUAAAAUUUAGUAAAUUUUAUGUCAAAAUCAUUUUUUAUAAUUCUCAAGUUGUAAUGGUUAAUGCUUAAUACCCAAUUUACAUAAUAAUUUUCCAUCAAAUAUAGUAUCUCUUGAUAAUGACUAUACACGAUUUUAAUUAUAAAGGUUUUAAAUAGAGUGAAAUGUGAUAUUUUGUUGUCGUCAAACCUCAAGCUUUAUAAGUAAGGCGGUAAACGAGCUAAACCGUACCGAAAUUGAUCAAACUCGAGCACGACUCGUUUGAUUUUUAAGAAGCUCGAGUACGACUCGUUUAAUUUUUAAGAAGUUUGAGUUUGAUCAAGCUCGAGCACGGCCUAUUUGAUUUUUAAGAAGUCUGAGCAUGACUCGUUUAAUUUUUAAGAAGCUGGAGCUUUAGUUCAACAUGAUUUAAGCCAUAAGAAGGAAGUUUGAACUCAGCUCUUGAACAAUUUUGUGAGACCGCAAGUCGAUAUGAGCCUAAACGUUAUAUAUAUAUAUANNNNNNNNNNNNNNNNNNNNNNNNNNNNNNNNNNNNNNNNNUAUAUAUAUAUAUAUAUAUAUAUAUUAUUGGGUUUUAUUUAAUAUCGUUUAAUCCAUCAAUGAUCAAUUUGCAAUCAUGGAAGGAUUGAAUCAACCAUACAACGAAGCUCUCUAUAAUGUAUCUACCAAAAAAGUAUCAGCCAUAAAACUAGUUAGUCUUUACUUUUAUUAAUUUGUUGUUAAGCCAUUAAGACUUAUACCAAAUAAGUGUUAGGAGAAGAAACUUAUGAGCCUUUAAAUCUUACACAAAAUUGUAAGACAAGGUGGAGAGGAUGUGGAAUGAGCACCCUCGGAUUUGCAAGCCAACAAAGGGAGAAAAGGAACCAAAAUAACAACUAUUUUCUACUAGCUCUUGGUUUUUGGCAGCCAAGACGGAGGAGAAAAGAGAUUGAAAUAGAAGCAAGUUUUUCAACCAUACACUCCUUUGUAUACUAAGAGACAUGUACAUGACUCAAAGCUAGUCAUAAAGGAAUGUGUGGUCUCUCUUACAAGCAUGGAGUAGUCUAAAUGAAGAGAAUCCAUGGCUCCAACAUGGAGUGUGGAGUGUUUGUGUUUUGUUUUCUCAUCAAACUAACUAGUUUCAUAUACUACCUAGAUGGUUACUCAGAGUGUCAAUUAAAUUUGUACAUAAGAUAUACAUUCAUUCCUUAUAAAUAUAACUACUUUUGUUCUCUUUCAUCAUCAUUUCACGGAAAUAAUAGUUUCCCAAUUAGUUGUGAAAAUAUUAUCUUCAUAAAAUAACAAUUUCCAAUUAAAAACAAACGUUUAUUGUAUUUAUAAAUAUUUAUAUUUCAUUAAAAAACAAUCAAUUAGUGGUAGCUUAUUAUAAGGUGUGACCUUAUAGGAUCAUAUGUUGUUAGAAAAUAUUAUUAUGUAAUGGCUCUUGGGCAUAAUGACCUUUUAAUCUCCCACUUGCACAAGACUAAUUAUAGAUUGAAAUAGAUAGUAGUGAACAUCUAGAAAAAAUUUACUACCCCUAAUAGCACACGAAGAAUAAUUUCAUUCAUUAACAUCGAAUUCCUUGAAACUUAAAAAUGCAAUUGAUGUAUAAUGUAAUUUUAUCAGUUAGCCCAUUAUUAUAGACAUCAUGUUGAACAUGAGACUUGGAGCACAAUAAAUCUCAAUUUGUGUUCAACUUUGGGUAAUGCAUAUUAGAUAUCCAUUUCUCAACACUUAAGAGGAAAAAAUCGCAUCUUGGAUACAUAAGCCUCUUGUAUAGUUCAUACUAAACCUGAUAAUAGCGUUUACAAUUGCCUGUUUAAAGAUCAAAAUUUUAACACAUCAAAGUAUCGCAUUUCCUACACUUAAGUCCCUCUAUGCAUCUUAUGUAUUAAGAAACUAAAUAUAGUACCUUUUCUUUAUCAUGUAUCUCCCAUAAAAACGAUCUAUGAGCUGAUUUUGAUGCCGCCCAUGUUCGAUAUUAUUUCUUUGGUGAGUACCUAUGAAUCUUGGUUACAAGCUAUUGCCUAAAUUCAUCUUAUGAGAGUCUACCAAUCCAAUUCAUAUUAGUUUUACUUCGUAAUUACUCCCACAGUUAUAACCGAUUAUGAACUUUUAGAAAAAUUACAUUAUUUAUGGACUAAACAUGUUGAUAUAGCACACAACAAGUAUUGAAGUGAAGAUCAUAUCCCAAUAUAUCUAAAAAAUAUAAUAGUUGUUGUGUUAUUGUUCCAAUAUCCAAAUACAAAAUCCAAAUCAAAUCCUAUUUCUAUAAUAACAAAGUCUUUUAACUUAAAGUUGACCCUUCAUGCUUUCUUCAAAAGAAACACAUUAUUAAUGCGUCCGAAUAAAUUUCAAUUGAAUGUAUUAUGCCAAUAUUAUCGUCUCCAUAUUUGACUUUAUUCUAUGUAAAGUUAAAUACGCCCUAAUGCAUGCCAUCUGAUAUGCUAACUUCAACUGUUAUGCUACUAGAACUGAUCAUACAAGAAGGUUACUUACCAUUAUUACCAAUGCUUUCGAACAUCUAUAGUAGUAGAAGAUGCCCUAAUCCAUGCCAUUCGAUAUGCUAACUUCUACUAUUAUGCUACUAGAAUAGGAAUUGAUCCUUGAAGAAGGUUACCUACCUUUCUUUCAAGUUUUUUUUAUUUAUAUUUUGGUGCGUCUCAAAGAAAGUUAUUAAUAAGUUGAUCUUGAUGGUGUCAAAACAUUGGCAGAUGACAAAACUGUAGCCAUAGUUGUCAUCAACCUAGGGAAUCUGUAAUGUCCCAAAAGUUUGUAGUAAAAUUUUCAUUUUUAAACCAAUAAACCAUAUAGAAUAGUUUUUCCAAACCUAGUCAUAGUGAAUACAUCAUUUAAACAUCAGAGUAAAAAUCACAAAUAGCCAAUGCGGAAAAUUAUGGGUAUUUUGUGCAGUCACACCGUGCCCUAAUCUUUUGAACCGGUAGUAACUGGAACCGUAAACAUGAAACCGUAAGCAAAAAGCUUAGUGAAUUCCCCAAAAUACGACAUACCAUAUGUAACACCCGAUCCCUGGUAUACUACCUUUCAAGUAUUUCUUAUGUUUUUCUCUGGGACUCGAUGAGUUGGUGGCCCAACUCGUCGAGUAGAUUCGUGAUCCGCAGGGAGUUUAAAUGACCUACUCGACGAGUUGGGAGACUGACUCGGCGAGUAGGUGUUGUUUGGGUGAAAAUCUAAUUUUGAGGGUUUGUGCCUUAUUUAAACAACUUUUCUUACCCUCCACGGUCCCUAUUAAUCCCAUAAAGCAUUAUCUCGAAAACCUAGUGUAACGUCCCGUCUAUCGUAUGUCUUUUUUUAUAUUAUUUAUUUAGAAGUUUGCAGAGGGACUCGGCGAGUCUAUUGCCCGACUCGUCGAGUAGAGAUGGGAUUUCAAGCACAUGUAAGUUGGUGACUCGGCGAGUCCGCCUGCCAGGACGAAACCCUAAAUCCCCGGGUUUGCUCACUAUUUAAGCAAUGUUAUGUGCCCCAACUCGCCUCCUUCACCCUCAGAGAGCUUGUGAGAAACCCUAAAUCAUUCCUUGUGUGAUUAAAGUGUUUUUGGUGUGGGUUCUUGAAGGAUUGAAGAGGAGAAAGAAGAAAGGACCCAAAAGAGGAAGUGUAGAGCAAAGAUCCAAGGCCAAGUCAGGGUUUAUUGAGGUGUGUUUCAGAAUUUCUAUGUUUUAUGCUUAAAAUCUCCAUUAGAACACCUCUAAGGCUAGUUUAAUGUAUUUUCGAAGCUUAUUAGUUGUAUGGAUGCCUUAUUGGUUCGAGUUAUCCCCAGAUCUGUUCAUUUAGGAGUUUUAGAGCCUAGAUCUAAUGCCUUUUUCGAAGUUGUCUUGCAUGAGAACCCUAGAUCUAGCCUUAUUAAGCCGUUUGAGCCUUUUAAUCUUCAUGCAUGCUUAUGGGCACGCAAAGAUAGAAUCUUUACGUGUUAAUCGAGCAUAAGAAGCCCAGAUCUGCAAGUUAUAUGCGUUGGAUUCAAGCAAAAUCGAGUUAUUAGUAACUGCAUGCAUACGACUCGGCGAGUCGUUCUUCGAACUUGGCGAGUCGAGCCGCGAGUCCCCAAUUUUUCCCCUUUUGAGUGAUUCCGAGUGGAGACCAGUGAGUAGUUGGAUGGACUCAGUGAACCGGAGAUCAGACUCAGUAAUGGAGGGACUCGACGAGUUGUUCAUACAACUCGGCGAGUCCAAGGCAAUCUUCAUAGAUUCAAGAACAACCCGUUAAGUUGUUCAUACAACUCGGCGAGUCGGAUGUAGAUAGCCUGAGUUCUAGAGUCGAAAGGGAACUCAUCUAGUUGGUGCUAUACUCGACGAGUAGCAGCGAACAGGGUUGAGAAGUGAGAGUAGAGACUUGACGAGUUGACGGCCCAACUCGGCGAGUCAGGUCAACUGUAAGUUGACUUUGACCGAGAGAGUUGACUUUAGCCAGGGGUGAAAGAGUCAUUUUACCCCAAAGCAGUUAUUAGUAUUGAUUGAGUGUGUUUGUGGAAUUGUAGCCUGGGAGAUACCAGAGCGGCACCAUAUAGCUUCUAGAGCCUUACACUCAGCAGCCAGUUCACGAGGUGAGUUUCCUUCCAGUAGGAACGGGUCUAAGGCCACAAUGCCGGCCCGUUCAGUUAGUAGUAGUUUCCGGACUUCGGUCCGAUGCAGUAGUUAGUAUGUUUGAUGCCUUCGUGGCUCAGACAAGAUUUAUGUGUUAUGUGUUAUGUGUUAUGUGUUCCGGGCAACGACCCGAUGUAGUAUGCAGUAUAUGUGUUUAUGCUAGUUGAUAUGUUAUGCUAUGCUAUGUUCAGUCAGUUUCCGGACUUCGGUCCGAUGUAGGGGCAAGGCCCCAGUUAGUCCGGACUUCGGUCCGAUGCAGGGGACAAGGUCCCAGUCAGUUUUUGGACUUCGGUCCGAUGCAAGGGGCAAGGCCCCAGUUAGUCCGAACUUCGGUCCGAUGCAGGGGACAAGUUCCCAGUCAGUUUCCGGACUUCGGUCCGAUGUAGGGGGCAAGGCCCCAGUUUGUCCGGACCUCGGUCCGAUGCAGUGGGCAAGGCCCAAUAUGUGCUUUAUAUGUAUUGUAUGAUAUGUGGUAGUUUGGGGGAGCUCACUAAGCUUCGUGCUUACAGUUUCAGUUUUGGUUUCAGGUACUUCCGCAAGCAAAGGGAAGAGCUCAGGAUUAUGGCAUCGCACACACCACAACUUCAGUUUUUGUCCUGGGAGUUGAUUCAGUUUCUUCGAUAUGUUUUGAUACAGUUUAUCUCACAGUGUUUUAUAUGGUUUUGAGAUACGCUACGUAUGAUUUUAUUAUGUGAUACUCAGUUUUAUGAUCUUUGUUAUAUUUAAAAAUGAAAUUUUCGGGUCGUAUUUUUGGGAUGUUACACCUAGCGUUGUGUGAGUGUCCUAAGACCAUUUUUAUGCAUUUUGGUGGAUUGUGAAGCAUGAAAAGAGGAAGGAAGCUUGAGAGUUCGAUUUGGGGCUUGGAGAUCCAGAGAUUUUGUUCCAUUUCUAGCUCAUUCAAGGUAAAAUGCCCCUGCCUUGGUCUUCCAUGUGUUUAUUCAUCCUUAGGGCUUGGAUUUUGAGUAUCUUUAGGGCUUUCUAAGGUAUUUUCGGAUUAGUGAAGGGUUAUAUGGAGCUUUGACUUCAGAUCUGGGUCAUUGGAAGGGUCUCAUUGCAUAAAGGUGCCAACUCUAUGGCCAUGAGAUCCCCAUGCACUUUGUAGAACAUCUUUUAUGGCUUUUUGAGCCAAAGACCCCUUGCAUGUGCACCAAGCUUGGAACUUUACGUGUAUAAUGGACAUUAGGAGGCCAUAUCUAUGGUUUUGAUGUGUUAAGACCCAUUUAGAUCGACUGUAUAGUAAUGAUCAAGGAUGGACUGGCGAGUCAUUCUUGGGACUCGGCGAGUCGGGGUAUAAUGACCACCGAAUCCUGUCUAUCGAUGGACCAGAUGAUAGUGUGGAAGGUCCCUAAGUUGUUUAGGCUCAUAAGGGACCUGGGAAUCAUGGGACUCGAUGAGUGUUUGAGCAAACUCGACGAGUCCAAGGUAAUCUCCUAAUGUUUGAAGAUGGACUCGAAGAGUUGUUCAUACAACUCGGCGAGUCAUAGACUGGACGCAUCCUUAUGAGGGAGAUGAACUCGAAGAGUUUAAGGAUGAACUCGACGGUACGGAUGAAGAUGGUCCCGAUGGUAUGAUUGAAGGAGAACCCGUCAAGUUCUUGACAGACUCGACGAAUAGAGUCGGGGAUUGUAUCGAGAUAGAGGAGUAUAGACUUGACGAGUUGGUAGACCAAUGUUUACUUUGAUUGAAUUUAGUUGACCCUGGUUAGGGUUGCAUAUUCAAAUUGAUAACUUAGAAGGGUUGUCAUGUAGGGAUUGAGGAGUCGAGAAGAGUUGAUUUGCAUGCUGAGGAUAGUUCAGACACUACAUGACAUCGAGGUGAGUUACCUUCCAGUAGAAGUGGGUCUAAGGCACCAAGGCCGGCCCACUAAUAGUUUUUUGGUUGAGAUAAUUGUCUGGUUUGCUAUGGCUUGAUAUGUGCAUAUGCUAGUAUGCUAUGUUAGGUGGGAUAGUACCAGUAGGAGGGGACCAGUCCCCGAUUCGGUCGUUAAGACCAAUGGGUAGGUCGGACACCCCAGAAAUGUCUGACAUCAUGAUUAUGAUGUGAUAUUAUAUGCUAGCGGUAGGGGUGAAAUAGUCCCCGUGAUCGGUUGAGAUAGACCGGUGGGUAGGUCAGCCCCCUAGAAUGGCUUGAGAUGGGUAGGUCAGCACCCCAGAAUGGCUUGACAUGGGUAGGUCGGGCGCCCCAGAAUUGCUCGGCAAUAUGUAUGUUGAUUUGUAUGUGGUAUGAUGGGGGAACUCACUAAGCUUUGUGCAAACAGUUUUAGUUUUGGUUUCAGGUACCUCUUCGUCUAAGGGGAAGGAGUCGACGGUGUAGCAACACAUCACACACACACAUGAUUCCCGCUUAGAGUUUUUUGGGAUUGUACUCUGAUAUUUUAUUACUUCAGAUGAUAUAGGUUUCAGACAUGAUACUACGGUUUUAUGUUAUGACAUUAUUGGCAAUGUCUUGAUAAUUUAUUUUAUAAAUCACAUAAUUAAAAAUGAAAUUUUUGGCCUUGAUUUUUGGGAUGUUACAAGUUGGUAUUAGAGCCUUGGUUUAAGGGAUUCUGACACACCCUCGUGGGUGCCUGGACUCAAAUCAAGGGCUUGAAAGAUUUUCUGCAAUAAAAUAGUUUUCAAAAAUCUAAGUCAAAGAAUUUUGAGAAAGGACAAGGUGUGUGAUGCAUGCGACCGGCCGAGCUCAACUAAGUUUUCCCCAAGAUACCCAUACUAGUUAUGUUAUGAUAUAUGAUGUGAUCAUGAGAACUGCAUGAUAGAUUAGGGCUAAGGAUCUAUGAGGAUGCAUUGUAUUCCUAUUAUAUACUUAUGAGAACUGCAUGCUAGAAUAGGGAUAAGGAUUUAGUAGGAUGCCUUGUAUGCCUGCUGUAGGAGCUUAUUGAACGGUAUGUUAGAGAUGUUAGUUAGCAGCAUGGUAGCCUGAGUUUCUUAUGCUUGAUUUGGUUACUCGAUGCAUGAAUGCUGCUUGCUUUGUGCUAUAGGGGUUCUGACUAGCUUUAAAUAACUAGCAAGUAAAUAUGUAUCAGGAUUUGCAAGCUAGUUAGGGAAAAGUGGUAGGGACUCCUGGUGCAGCUGAUGGCGGAGAGUAGUUCGGAGGGUGUCCUAGGGAAUCCUAGGAUGGGAUUAGUAUCGGUAAUGAGACUUGGUGAAGUUGAAGCAAUACUUGAGGAAAGCACAAAUAGAUGUGGAAAGUAGUAUGGGCACGUACUACUGAAUGCAGAGGAUCCGUACUCGAGCCAAGGAGGGCCAAGAUGGAGCCAGGAAACUUGGAGAGUGUGUGAGACCUCUUAAGAGUAUGUAUGAUCCUGACAUUUAUGUGUAUAUUUUUAGUAUGGCGAUUACGCGACGUGGAGUAGGAGGUUCAGGAUCUGGGUCAGGAUCAGGAUAACGCUCAGGUGUGGGAUCCGAGCAGGUUGAUGACAACUUACGUGAGCUCAUCGCGUCUAAGAUCACUAGAGGUAUCCUUGAGUCGACCCCUAUCAUCUUCGGGUUGAUCAAGGAGGGGAUUAUCGAGUUGAUGGAGGAUUGCCUCCAGAAAUUUCGGAGAGACUGGGCGUCCAGCCAGUCGGGUACGUGUACACUGUCAUUUUAAGGACUUCAGAAGAAGUGGUGUGUCAGACUUUCACUAGGUGAAGGACCCUAUUUCUGCUAGAAGAUGGAUUGUGGACAUCGAGUCAACGCAGUUGACGAGCUUCUGCCCGGAGGGGUCGAAGGUCCGCUUUGUUGUGAGAUGUUUGAGGGAUAGAGCUAGAGAUUGGUGGGAGUCAGUUGGUGACUCGAUGGGAGCCGCAACCAUCAAGGCUAUGAUUUGGUUAGAUUUUGUGACCAGAUUCAGGGCUGAGUUCGUGCCACUUGUGGAGCUUCAGCAGCUGGCCAUGGAGUUUUCGGAUAUGAGACAGACGAUAGAGACAGUGGCGUAGCUCACCGCCAAAUAUAAGGAGAGGGCCUUGUUGGUACCUCAGUAUGUGGGGGAUGAGGAGAUGCGGAAGACCCGCUACCAUUAUAUGUUGAGGGCUGAUAUCCGGGAGCAUGUCAGCUAUUCAUCUUGACCGACCCUGGAGUCCAUGAUUGCCAGAGCAUAGGAGAGGGAGAUCGAUUUGGAGGACCUUAGGAAGAUGAAGGAAGCGCCAAUGGUGGCACCAACUUCAGCUACAACGCGGGUUGCAGAUAGCCGAAAGGUCAACGCAGAGGCUCUAGUGGUACGAAGCUGAGCAUUUCAGUUGACAGUCAAGAAGGCAUGCACCGGACCCGAUGUGGUGACGGGAUUAUUCCAGGUGAACGGUAUCCCAGUUCAGGUGUUGCUUGAUUCGGGUGCUACCAGUCCUCGGGCAUGUUGGAUUGCCCUGUAGAGGUCGAUAUUGCGGACGAUCGGUCAGUGCGAGCAUCAGGGGUCUACCGAGAUUGUGUUUUGAGGUUGUUCGAGGAGCGUUACUUGGUAGACUUGGUUCCCAUACCCUUGCAGGGGACACAAGGUUAUUGUUGGUAUGGAUUGGCUAAGCCCCAAAGGGGCGGUGAUUGACUACGCGCAACAGUUGGUGCCGAUCAGGACCCCAAGUGGGGGAGAACUGGUGAUUCAGGGUGAGAGGCCACAACGAGGGCCAACUUUAUGUUCAGUAGAAAGAGUUAGGUGCUACUUUCAACAUGGUUACGCUGGAUAUGUCGCCUAUGUCAUGGAUACCCAGGAGGCGGGAAAGGCGACGAUGGGUGAUGUGCCAGUAGUGCGAGAGUUUGCGGAUGUAUUCCCCGAGGAGUUGCAUGGGAUACCUCCGGAGAGGCAGGUAGAUUUCAGGAUCAACCUAAUCCCUGGUGAGGCUCCGAUAGCCAAGGCACUAUAUUGGUUGGCUCGUCCUGAGAUGCAGGAGUUGUCUAUAAAGUUGCAGGAGCUGUUAGACAAAGGAUUCAUUAGACCGAGCAGUUGAUAUUGGGGAGCCCCGAUUUUAUUUGUAAAGAAGAAGGACCGGUCGCACCGGAUGUGUAUAGAUUACCGAGAGCUGAAUAAGGUAACGGUGAAGAACCUUUACCCACUCCCGAGGAUUGAUGACCUCUUCGACUAGCUACACGGAGCAUCUUGGUUCUCCAAGAUUGACUUGCGUUAAGGAUAUCAUCAGAUGAGGGUCAGAGAGGAGGAUGUGCACAAAACUUCUUUUUGGACACGUUAUGGUCACUAUGAGUUUGUGGUGAUGCCUUUCCGGAUCAUCAAUACUCCUGCCACGUUCCUGGAUCUCAUGAACUACAUCUGCAAACCGAUGUUGGAUUGAUCCAUGAUAGUUUUCAUCGAUGACAUCUUCGUCUAUUCCAAGAAGCGAGAGCAGCAUGAGGAGCAUUUGCGGGAGGUUCUGGAUACUUUGACGAGGGAGAGCUUGUAUGCUGAGUUCUCUAAGUGUGAGUUCUGGUAGCGCGAGGUGCUAUUUUUAGGGCACGUUGUCAAUCAAGACGGGAUUUCGGUUGACCCGGCCAAGGUGGAGGCCGUAAUGAGAUGGGAGGUUCCCAGGUCUCCUUCCAAGAUUCGGAGCUUCCUAGGACUGGCAGGCUACUAUCGGAGAUUCAUUCAGGACUUCUCCAAGAUAUUCAUGUCCCUGACCAGGUUGACGAGGAAUGUCGUGGUCAUUCGCUGGGGGCCUGAGCAACAGGCCGUGUUUGAGAGUUUGAGACAGAGAUUGUACGAGGCGCCAAUCUUAGCCCUUCCAGAGGGCAUGGAGGAUUUUGUAGUAUAUUGCGUUGUGUCUAUCUCGGGUUUAGGUGCGGUAUUGAUGCAGAGAGGGCAUGUUAUCUCUUACGCCUGGAGGCAGUUGAAGCCUCACGAGGCGAAUUAUCCGACACAUGAUUUGGAGCUGGGGGCUGUUGUUUUCGCCCUCAAGAUUUCGUGUCAUUACCUCUAUGGGGUUCGUUGUAUUAUUUACAUGGACACAAGAGCCUGAGGUAUCUCAUGGACCAGUCAAAUCUGAAUAUGAGGCAGUGUCAGUGGCUUUAUUGAUGGGUUUUGAGCAUUCUAACACUUCCUAAGUGUACAUGCAACCCUAAUAACCUUGGAUCUAUGUUUGUCUAAUUAUCAUGCAAAGUUGAAUUCCAAGGUUAUAUUCCUAUCUAGCAUACAUGGGGAACAAUUUUAACUUGAAACAUAGAUAGAAUAACUUACCUUGUUGUUGCUUGUGUUCCUUGAAACCUUGUGAGCCUAGCACCCCAAGUGUGAUGCCUCAAAUGCUUCACACAACACCAAAUGCUCUUGGAAAGACUCUUGAGAUAACACACACUUCUCAAAAUCGGCCAAGCCCUCUAGUUUCUUAGUGUAGCCGAUUUUGGUGGAGAAUAUGAUUCUUAUAUAGUGUUGACACAUCUAGGGUUACACCAUGUAAACCCUAAUGUGUCAUGACUCUUCAUUUCCAUGACCCAUGGGUUUGUAACUCCCAUGGAGCAUCCAUGGAGCAUCCUAUGGGUAGAACCCAACUUGAUAAUCCAUGGAGCCUCUUAGCCCACUAUACAAGAUAUGGAUGAUUUACAUAAUCAACCCAUAUAUUUAAUUAGUUAUCCUUUGAUCACUUAAUUAAUUCCAAAUUAAUUCUUUGAUCAACUAAUCAAAUAAUAUUAUUAAUAUAUUAGAACUUAUAAUAUAUUAAUAAUCUCCAAGUGUUAUUUCUCUCAUUUAGUCUAUCCAAUUGCAUGGUGCCAUGCAACCCAAAUGGACCAUGCCGGGUCGGGUCAAGUACAAGCCCGAAAUAGUUAUGGACUUAGACACCUUAUCCAACAGUCUCCCACUUGGAUAAGUCUAAUAACUAUAUCUCUAGUACUUCAGGAACCGACCGGCAAUCGUAGCUCUUUCAAGGUCUCUCGGAACUGAGAAGAUGAUGGUACGCCAUUUAAGAUAAGUGAUCAUAUAAUCCUCCGUUCUAGAUAUCAGCCGGACAAAUACAUGGAACAUUGUCUUGCUUAUUGUCCAGCAUUUGUUUCCCGAUUUCCGAUUUGUUUGACAUAGAACUUAAUUGAACACAUCAACUUAGUUCUGACCGGGCCCGGUACAUGGGUCAAAACAAAAUCAUCGAGGGGCCCAGAUAUCAGCUUCUAAUCCAAGAAGGACCCAGAUAUCAGCUUCUAAUCCAAGAAGGAACAGAUAAACUUCUAAUCACAGAAAAGUACGUUUUAUAACAUCGAGUUACCAAUGCGGUUUCGUACAGUCAAUGCAUAACCAACUUGUAAGUAACAAAUCAUAUCUCUAGGUUUGAAGACUUAUAUGAUAUUACCGUCUCACGAUCACUCGAGAUAGAAUUCCAUGAAGUGAUUCCAGUGAGCGUGGGUUGAGUCCAAUGCUCAGAACUUAUGAGCACUCAUGAUUGUUGUAGCCUUGUCCAACACCUUAGACCUCUACAACCCAUCAUGACAGUCUUGAUUCAUACCUACUUCCGACAUAUGACCGACUGUGGAGGUUUGAAUAAUAUGUUACACCAAACAAAAUUAUUCUGGAAGUCAAAACAUGCAAAAGAAAUAUAGUAAACGAUUGACAAGAGAUAGCAACACUUUACUCAUAAAUAAAACACCUUUUAUUCAUCAUCAAAUGUCAAUUACACUUUACAAAUUUCUGGGUUAUCUAACUACUAAAACUUAUAUCAUCCUUCAGCCCUAUGCUCCGAGCAUGCUGGAGAUGCUUAACCCUACUCAGUCCCUUCGUGAGGGGAUCUGCUGGGUUCUCAUCCGAUGAUACCCUCUUUGCCACGAGGAGUCCUUCUUCGAUCCGAUGUCUAAUGAAAUGGUAUUUUCUGUCGAUGUGUCUGGAUCUCCCAUGAUCCCUUGGUUCCUUGGCUAAGGCAACAGCACUUUCACUAUCACAGAAAAUUUCCAUUGGCUCUUUAAUAGCUGGUACAACUCCAAGGUCUCCAAUGAAGUUCUUCAGCCAUAUCGCCUCCUUUGCUGCUUCGCUAGCUGCAAUAUACUCUGAUUCACAAGUAGAAUCUGCCACUGUCUCUUGCUUGGAACUCUUCCAAGAAAUUGCUCCUCCGUUUAGGGUAAAGACCCAGCCCGACUGAGAGCGGAAAUUAUCCCUAUCAGUCUGGAAGCUAGCAUCACUAUACCCUACAACUCUCAAGUCAUCACUCCCACCGAGGGUAAGGACCCAGUCCUUAGUCCUCCGUAGGUACUUGAGGAUAUUCUUUACCGCAGUCCAGUGUGCCUUGCCAGGGUUCGCCUGAUACCUGCUAACCAUGCUCAAGGCAAAAGCUACAUCGGGUCGAGUACACGUCAUAGCAUACAUGAUCGAUCCUACAGCCGAAGCGUAAGGUGUUCGACUCAUUUCUGCUAUCUCAGCCUCAGUGCUAGGGCUUUGUGUCUUACUCAAUCUGGUGUUACUCUGGAUGGGUAACUCUCCUUUCUUGGAAUCCUGCAUGCUGAAUCUCUUCAGCACCUUAUCCAAGUAGGUACUCUGACUAAGUCCAAUUAGUCUUUUACUCCGAUCUCUCAAGAUUCUUAUCCCUAGAAUAUAGGCAGCUUCACCAAGGUCCUUCAUAGCGAAACACUUCCCAAGCCAGGACUUUACUUCCUGCAGGGUUGGAAUGUCGUUUCCUAUGAGUAGUAUGUCAUCCACAUACAAUACCAAAAAGCUAACUAUACUCCCACUAGCCUUGACAUACACACAAGAUUCAUCUUCACUCCUAGAAAAGCCAAAUUCCUUGACCUUUUCAUCAAAGCAAAGAUUCCAUCUGCGAGGUGCUUGCUUCAAUCCAUAAAUGGAUUUCUCAAGCUUACACACUCUAUUAGGGUACUCGUUGCUGACAAAACCCUCUGGCUGACUCAUGUAAACAUCUUCAGCCAACUUUCCAUUAAGGAAAGCGGUUUUGACAUCCAUCUGCCAUAUUUCAUAGUCAUGAAAUGCAGCUAUGGCUAACAGAACCCGAAUAGACUUAAUCUUGGCUACCGGAGAAAAGGUCUCAUCAUAAUCCACUCCAGGAAUUUGAGAGAAGCCCUUUGCAACCAGUCUAGCCUUAUAAGUGUGUACUUUACCAUCCAUGUCGGUCUUCUUCUUGAAGACCCAUUUGCACCCUACUGUCUUACGACCUGGUACAUUUUCAACCAAGUUCCAAACUUGAUUGUCAUACAUGGAUUGUAUCUCGCUAUCCAUAGCCUCUUUCCAUUUAGCAGACUCGGGGCCUGCCAUGGCUUCCUCGUAGCUGUUAGGGUCAUCUUGACUUACUAGUGUCUCAUCACUAAUAAGUGUCUCACCUUCUGCAGUAAUAUGGAAUCCAUAGUAAUGCUCAGGUGCACUCCUAACUCUCGUGGAACGUCUCAGAGGUACAGAUUUGUCAAUUGGCUCAACAGGAGUUUCCUCCUCAAGUUGAGGGCUAGAGUUUGAAGUUCCUUCACCGCUUGAUUCUUGAAUUUCUUCAAGAUCAAUUUGCCUCCCACUGUCUCCUUGGCUUAUAAACUCUCUUUCUCGAAAGACUCCUCUUCUUGCUACAAAGACCACAUUGUCACUAGGUCUGUAGAAGAGGUAACCAAAGGAUCGCUGUGGGUAACCGAUGAAAAUACACCUCUCGCUUCGAGGUUCGAGCUUAUCAUGAGUCUCGCGUCUCACGAAAGCCUCGCAACCCCAAAUCUUGAUGUGGUCUAGUUUAGGUACUUUACCAGUCCACAUCUCGUGAGGAGUUUUGGCAACUUUCUUUGUAGGGACUAGAUUAAGAAUAUGGGCGGCAGUCUCUAAGGCAUACCCCCAGAAUGAGAUUGGUAGCGUAGCUCGACUCAUCAUGGAACGAACCAUAUCUAACAAGGUUCGAUUACGCCUCUCAGCCACACCAUUCAACUGUGGUGUCCUGGGAGGUGUCAAUUGUGAGACUAUCCCACAUUCCCUUAGAUAGUCGAGGAACUCUGAACUAAGAUACUCACCACCACGAUCGGAUCGAAGCAUCUUAAUGUUCCUGCCCAAUUGAUUCUCGACUUCCUGUUUAAAUUCCUUAAACCUCUCGAAAGUCUCUGACUUAUGCUUGAUCAAGUAGACAUAUCCAUAUCUACUAUAAUCAUCAGUAAAAGUCAAAUAAUAACGAUUAGCAUCCCUUGUGGCAUGUUUGAAUGGUCCACACACAUCCGUGUGUAUAAGGUCCAACAAACCUUCACCCCUCUCACACGAACCUGUGAAGGGUGACUUUGUCAUUUUUCCAAGUAAGCAUGAUUCGCAACUAUCAUCUGACUUUAGGUCAAACGACUCCAAGACUCCAUCCUUUUGGAGUUGGCCUAUGCGUUUCUUGCUUAUAUGUCCAAGACGACAAUGCCAUAAAGAUGCUUUAUCCAAGUUAUUAUUAGUAGAAUCAAUACACAAAACAUUAUUUCCCAAGUUAUCUACAACAGAUACAGCUUCAUACACACCAUCACAAGGUAAUGCUUUAAAAUAAAAGACAUUAUUAUAGAAAACAUCUAUAGAACCAACUUCAUUAUUAAAUGAAAAGGUAAACCCUUGUUUGUACAAAGCAUGAAAGGAAAUAAUAUUUCUUGCCAUUCCUGGCGAAUAACAACACUUAUUCAAAUCUAAACUAAACCCACUACUUAGCGAUAAAGUAUAAACUCCAAUCUUGGUAACAGGUAUAGCUUUCCUAUUCCCCAUGAUCAAGUUUAUCCUUCCUUGCUCCACAUCCUCACUUCUUCUUAGUCCCUGCAAGUCACAACAAAUGUGAAUACCACACCCGGUAUCAAGGACCCAAGAAUUAGAAUGGGGUGAGUUAUUAGAAAUGAUAGUGUAAAUACCUGCAUGGUUGGGUUUAACUUUCCCAUCCUUCACAUCUUGCUGGUAUUUUGGGCAGUUCCGCUUCCAAUGAGCUUUUUCAUGGCAAUAGAAGCAUUCAGCCUCUUUUGGGUCAGAAGAAGGAGUAAUGAAACCUUUCUUGGUUCCACUUGAAGAAGAGCCAUCAAGGGUCCGAACCUUGGUACCCUUAGAAGAGCUCUUUCUCUUCCUCCCUCGACUUUUCCCGAUUGCCAAAACCGGAGUAGAGUUUUGAGUAGGAGUGAUAGCAACCGACUUCCCCUUAAGACCUGAUUCUGCGGUCUUGAGAAGUCCCUGAAGUUUGCUGAGGGUGACUUCUUCCUUGUUCAUGUGAUAUGUCAUGCGGAAUUGAUCAUAGCACGAUGGUAAGGAAUGCAAAAUAAUAUCUAUUGCAAGAUCCUCCGGGAAGUUCACAUUAAGCUUCAGCAAACGAUCCACAUACCUUUGCAUUUUCUGCAUGUGGCUCGUGACGGAUUCCCCGUCCUUCAUCAUGGUUGUUAUCAUGGAGCAGAUGAUUUCAUACCUCUCUUGUCUUGCACUUUGAUGGUAUCUUUCCAUCAAAUCUUGGUGCAUUUCAUAAGGGUAGAAAUCCUCAUAAGACUUUUGGAGUUCCGCUGUCAUCGUGGCCAUCAUGAUGCAAGCCACUUUCGUAGCAUCCCUUUCAUGUGCCCGAAAUUCAGCGAUCUCCUGAGGAGUUGCAGUGGACUCAUCAAUCUCCUUAAGCUCCUUGUCAAGGACAUAUUCUUUGUCCUCGUAGCGGGUAAUCAUCCUGAUGUUUCUGAUCCACUCAUUGAAGUUGGAUCCAUCAAAGGUGACUUUCCCACACAAGUUCAUAAGGGUAAAGGAGCCAUUAGGAUUAGAGCCAGAAGCAUUGUUGAAAGACAUCUGAAGGAAAGAGGACAAGAUUAGUUUAGAUAUAAGAGAGUCCUUAAUAAAACACCCAAAUGUAAUAUUAAGGCUAGGAUCCAAUCACAAUAUAAUAUAACUUAGAAGAGGUAUGCCGUAAUCUAAGCUAUAUCAUAUUUGAAAGGUAGGUGAAUGACGAUUCACCAAUUUCCACCACGAAAACCGCAAUAUUUUAGUAUUAGGUUUUUGAAUGGUUCUUAGAAAUUCCUAGAUUCUUUGAGAUUCAAUGAACUUUUCAAAGGCAUGUUUCAAUCUCGAGUGUGCCCUCCAAGUUUUGUGACUGGGAUACCGAGGAUCACAAAACGAGGUGUGAAGUAACCAUGCAAAUCACUUGGUACCCUUAAAGUUUAUCACUCAAUCGAUGUGCCGGUUAACCACACACGCUCCAUCGAUACUAUAAUAAACCCUAAGUCACCCUUUACCUACCUUGUUAAGUCCAAGUUAGUGUGCCGGUUAACCACACACGCUCCACCAACGACUUAAUCAAAGUGUAAAGUGUAAUUUCAUGGAAUAGCACCUUAUUCACAUUUUUCCUAAAGUAACUAAGAUUGGGAAUUUAAUAAAACAUUUAGUUACUUUAUAAUAUUCAUCAUACUUUGAAUGAGAAUUAAUAAGUCCUUGUCUUACCCGUUCGGCUAACGACCCUCCACCGAUCAAGCAAGCGGUGGGUGAGAGUGGACACCCAUUAAGUCACCAUUUUAUAGGCAACAACCUUAUACCCACCUUAUAGACCGGCUUCGUGAAUGAGGCGUACUAGCGGUAAGACGACUUUGUUCUUAUACAUAUAUAUAUAAUUAUUAAAUCAUAAUAAUAUAAGUAUAAGGGUUGAAUUUUAACUUUUAAAAUUCUAGGGGUUGGAACUAAAGUUUUAACUUAACUUUACUUGUUCCAAAACUUGAGGGCAAGUUUUGUAAACUUUCAAAACUUUUCAUUUCUUGUAACUUAUGAGUUUAAUAGAGUAAUAAAAUGAGGACUUUUCAUUUUUCCUAACUCUUGUGUUCUUUUAAUGUUUUUUAAUCCAAGAGACUUUUGGUUUUCCAUAACUUGAGGACAAGUUAUGGACUCCAUUAAAACACAUUAUGAUCAUGAAUUAAUCUACCACAUAGGUUACAAAUAAUUCCUAUGAUCAUCUAAACAUCAUAAGAACAAGAAUAUGAAUAUGAACACUUUCAAGAAUCAAAAUCACAUUUAAUCUUUGUAAUUUUGAUAACUAGUUGUUGUAAAUGAGUUAGAAAAGACAUUACACCUUCUAAAAUAAGUUUUCAAGUACCAAAACAUUUUAGGGUAAUGAUUCUAAUCCAUUUCCAGCAACACAAGUCGAAAUUCUGCACUCUGUCGACCCUACUCGCCGAGUGCAUAAACCUACUCGCCGAGUAGGUUGAAGAUACACAUGAACUCGUCGAGUCCUCCCCAUGGACUCGCCGAGUCCAUCAGUCAGACAGCAAGAUUUUCGACUUUCUUCAACUUUUAAGCACAAAUAACAAACAAACAAGCCUAGGCUCUGAUACCACUGAUGGGUUUUGAGCAUUCUAACACUUCCUAAGUGUACAUGCAACCCUAAUAACCUUGGAUCUAUGUUUGUCUAAUUAUCAUGCAAAGUUGAAUUCCAAGGUUAUAUUCCUAUCUAGCAUACAUGGGGAACAAUUUUAACUUGAAUCAUAGAUAGAAUAACUUACCUUGUUGUUGCUUGUGUUCCUUGAAACCUUGUGAGCCUAGCACCCCAAGUGUGAUGCCUCAAAUGCUUCACACAACACCAAAUGCUCUUGGAAAGACUCUUGAGAUAACACACACUUCUCAAAAUCGGCCAAGCCCUCUAGUUUCCUUUCACUAGCCAAUUUUUGGUGGGGAAUAUGCUUCUUAUAUAGUGUUGACACUUCUAGGGUUACACCAUGUAAACCCUAAAGUGUCAUGACUCUUCAUUUCCAUGACCCAUGGGUUUGUAACUCCCAUGGAGCAUCCAUGGAGCAUCCUAUGGGUAGAACCCAACUUGAUAAUCCAUGGAGCCUCUUAGCCCACUAUACAAGAUAUGGAUGAUUUACAUAAUCAACCCAUAUAUUUAAUUAGUUAUCCUUUGAUCACUUAAUUAAUUCCAAAUUAAUUCUUUGAUCAACUAAUCAAAUAAUAUUAUUAAUAUAUUAGAACUUAUAAUAUAUUAAUAAUCUCCAAGUGUUAUUUCUCUCAUUUAGUCUAUCCAAUUGCAUGGUGCCAUGCAACCCAAAUGGACCAUGCCGGGUCGGGUCAAGUACAAGCCCGAAAUAGUUAUGGACUUAGACACCUUAUCCAACAUUUAUGUGGUAAAGGAUUAUGAUUGGGAGAUCCUCUACCACCCCGGGAAGGCUAAUGUCGUCGUCGACGCGCUUAGCUACAAGGCAGCGCCGACCAGGGGCAUCUGUAUGAGGAUGACAGUUGUGACUCCGCUGUUGGAGUAGAUUCGGGAGGCCCAACAGGAGGACAGGAAGGAGGAACAUCAGAAGAGCGAGCGAAUUGUGGGGCAGGUUUCCUCCUUCGAUUAUGAUAGUCGAGGAUUGUUGACUCUUCACCGUAGGAUGUAGGUCCUAUAUCAUGGGGGUGUGAGCCAAAUAUUGAUGGAGGAGGCACAUGGAUCCAGGUUUUCUAUCCAUCCCGGUGUGACGAAGAUGUAUAGGGAUCUUCAUCUUGAUUAUUGGUGGCCCUGUAUGAAGAGGGAUGUAGCUUGGUUUGUGGAGAGGUGCCUGACCUGCAGGAAGGUCAAGGAUGAGCACCAGAGACCUCACAACAAGGUCCAACUGUUGGAUAUCCCGCUGUGGAAAUGGGAGAAUAUCACUAUGGAUUUCAUCACAAAGCUUCCCAGGACCGUGUGGGGAGUGGAUUCGAUUUGGGUCAUCGUUGAUCAAUUGACCAUGAGCGCCCAUUUUAUUCCGAUUUAGGAGAGCAUUGCGGCCGAAAAGUUGGCCAACAUCUAUAUCAUGGAGGUAGUGGCGUGGCACGGGUUGUCGGUUUCAGUGGUUUCCAAUAGGGAUGUGCGGUUCACUUCCAGGUUUCAGUGGUUUCCAAAGUUGGCCAACAUCUAUAUCAUGGAGCUGGAUACUCGUCUGCAUUUUAGCACCUCCUUUCACCGACAGACGGAUGGUCAGAGAAAGCGGACCAUCCAGACUCUGGAUGAUAUGCAGCGAGUAUGUGUUUUAGACUUCGGAGGUAGUUGGGAUACUUACCUUCCUCUGGCAGAGUUUUCCUACAAUAAUAGCUAUCACGCGAGUAUCGAACGUCCUCUUUCGAGAUGUUGUAUAAGAGGAAGUGAAGGACCCCAAUAUGCUGGAGUGAGGUUGGUCAUAGGGUUAUGGGGAGUACCGAUGUGGUACUCAAGACUACAGAGAGGAUCCAGCAGGUGCAGAGCAGGCUUCCGACUCCUCAGAGUCGGCAGAAAAGUUAUACCGAUAAGCAUCGAUCGAAUUUCGAGUUCCGGGUCGGGGAUAUGGUGCUCCUGAAGGUGUAUCCUUGGAAAGGCAUCGUACGAUUCAGGAGGCGGGGCAAGCUGGGCCCUAGGUAUAUUGGAACCUUUAGGGUCAUAGCUCGGGUGGUCAAGGUGGCAUAUAGGCUGGAUCUGCCAGCCAAACUCAGUCAGAUUCAUAGCACCUCUCACGUCUCCCAGUUGCGGAAGUGCCUGAUAGACGAAUCGGCAGUGGUGCCUUUAGAGGAUAUUUAGGUUGAUGACAGCCUGAAUUACAUUGAGCGGCCAGUGGCAAUCCUUGACAGGAAGUCAAGGGACCUGAGGAACAAGAGAGUGGAGCUGGUAAAGGUGCAAUGGCAGCACCGCAAGGGCUCGGUAUGGACCUGGGAGUAGGAGGACGAGACGAGGGAGCAUUACCCCGAGCUUUUUUAGGACCCAAUAGCAGACUUCAAGGACGGAGUUUAAAAUGAGUGGGGGAGAUUUGUAACACCCGAUCCCUGGUAUGCUUCCUUUCAAGUAUUUCUUAUGUUUUUCUCUAGGACUCGAAGAGUUGGUGGCCCAACUCGUCGAGUAGAGUCAUGAUCUGAGGAGAGUUUAAAUGACCUACUCGACGAGUUGGGAGACUGACUCGGCGAGUAGGUGAUGUUUCGGUGAAACCCUAAUUUUGAGGGUUUAUGCCAUAUUUAAACAACUUAUCUCAGCCUCCACAGUUCCUAUUCCUCCAAUAAAGCAUUAUCUUGAAACUCUAGCCUUAUGUGAGUGGCCUAAGGCCAUUUUGGUGCAUUUUGGUGGAUUGUGAAACUUGAAAAGAGGAAGGAAGCUUGAGAGUUAAUGUUGGGGCUUGGAGAUCCAGAGAUUUUGUUCCAUUUCUAGCUCAUUCAAGGUAAAAUGCCCUUGUCUUGGUCUUCCAUGUGUUUAAUCAUCCUUAGGGCUUGGAUUUUGAGUAUCUUUAGGGCUUUCUAAGCCAUUUUCGGAUUUGUGGAGGGUUAUAUGGAGUUUUGGCUUCAGAUCUGGGUCAUUGGAAGGGUCUCAUGGCAUAAAGGUGCCAACUCUAUGGCCAUGAGAUCCCCAUGCACUUUGUAGAACAUCUUUUAUGGCUUUUUGAGCCAAAGACCCUUGCAUGUGCACCAAGCUUGGAAAUUUACAUGUAUAAUGGACAUUAGGAGGCCAGAUCUGUAGUUUUGAUGUGUUAAGUCCCAUUUAGAUUGACUGUAUGGUAAUGAUCAAGGAUGGACUCGACGAGUCGUUCUUGGGAAUCGGCGAGUUGGGGUUUAAUGACCACCAAAUCCUUUCUGUCGAUAGACCAGAUGAUAGUGUGGAAGGUCCCUUAGUUGUGUAGGCUCAUAAGGGACCUGGGAAUCAUGGGACUCGACGAGUGUUCGAGCAAACUCGGUGAGUCCAAGGCAAUCUCCCAAUCUUUGAAGAUGGAAUCAAUGAGUUGUUCAUACAACUCGCCAAGUCAUAGACUGGAUGCAUUCUUAUGAGGGAGAUGAACUCGACGAGUUCAAGGAUGAUCUCGGUGAGUCGAAUGAAGAUGUUCCCCAUGGUAUGAUUGAAGGAGAACCCGUCGAGUUCUGCCAGACUCGUCGAGUAGAGUCGGGGAUUGUAUCGGGAUAGAGGAGUAUGGACUCGAUGAGUUAGUAGACCAACUCGGCAAGUCAGGUCCACUGGAUGUUCACUUUGACCAAUCUUGACUUUUAUUGAAUUGAGUUGACCCUGGUUAGGGCUGCAUAUUCAAAUUGAUAACUUAGAAGGGUUGUCGUGUAGGGAUUCAGGAGUCGAGAAGAGUUGAUUUGCACGCCGUGGACAAUUCAAACACUACACAACAUCGAGGUGAGUUACCUUCCAGUAGAAGUGGGUCUAAGGCACCAAGGCCGGCCCACUAGUAGUUGUUUUGUUGAGAUAAUUAUCUGGUUUGCUAUGGCUUGAUAUGUGCAUAUGCUAGUAUGCUAUGUUAGGUGGGAUAGUUCCAGUAGGAGGGGACCAGUUCCCAAUUCGGUCGUUAGGACCAAUGGGUAGGUCGAACAACCCAGAAAUGUUUGACAACAUGAUUAUGAUAUGAUAUUAUAUGCUAGUGGUAGGGGUGAAAUAGUCCCCAUGAUCGGUUGAGAUAGACCGGAGGGUAGGUCGGCACCCCAGAACAGCCUGAUAUGGGUAAGUUAGCACCCCUGACUAGCUUGACGUGGGUAAGUCAGCACCCCAGAAUGGUUUAACAUGGGUAGGUCGGGCGCCCCAGAAUUGCCCGAAAAUAUGUAUGUUGAUUUGUAUGUGGUAUGAUGGGGGAACUCACUAAGCUUUGCGCUUACAUUAUUAGUUUUGGUUUCAGGUACCUCUUCGUCUAAGGGGAAGGAGCCAUCGGUGUUGCAGUGCAUCACACACACAUGAUUUUCGCUUAGAGUUUUCUGGGAUUUUACUCUGAUAUUUUAUUGCUUCAGAUGAUAUGGUUUUGAGACAUGAUACUACGGUUUUAUGUAUAGACAUGAUUUUGGCAAUUUCUUGAUGAUUUAUUUUAUAAAUCACUUAAUUAAAAAGGAAAUUUUUGGCCUUGAUUUUUUGGAUGUUACACCAUACAUAGAAUAGAGAAUGAUAUUUUCCAACCAUAGUCUUACAACUACUAAGAUGCCAUGAGUCAUAUCUUGAUCUUUCCUUGCCAAGUCGUGGGCCAAAUCCUAGGUCUUACAAACAAGUGCCAAGAGCCACCUCCUAAUCUUCCACGCAAGUAUCACAAAGACAACCGGCAUCCUAUAUAAUUGUUAAGGUCAAGCUUAGGUCUUGCAUACGUAUUGUUGGGAGCCAUAUCUAGGUCUUUCAUACAGUUUCCACGUUCCAUUAACUGGUCUUCGUAAAUAACAUAAUCCAAUGGGCCAGAAUUGGUGCCUUCGACCCAUCACUAUAGUAAGGAGACUCAACUCUCAGUUGAUAAUCAACUGCUACUGCUCUCACAACCCAAAAUACUUAGGAUAUGCACCACGUAUAUAGUCACACAAGGUAAGCCCUUAGCUCUUCUUCCAUAACAAGGAGUUUGACCAAAAGUCAACUCAAGUAAAAAAGUCAAUGGUUAGCGUUGACUUUAGUUAACCGCUACGUCGUGGUAUUCCAUGACUACGUCGUUGACAAUAUACAACAAUACAGACUAGCAUUUCCCAGUCACUGUGCCGUGAGCACUGCAAUUGUAAUAGCUUGAUGGGUUAAGCCAUUUUCUUUGAUUUUAAGAGCUCUAAAGCUCAUAUAUGGUCCAUUUUAUGGUCAAAAUUGAUAAAGUUUCCAAGUUUAAUCCUUAAGACUCCCUAAGAAAUCAAGAUCUCAACUUCUAGGCCGAAAAAGGGAAAAAACAUAACAUUGCUUAAUCAUUAAGCACUAAAUCUUGAAGGUCUCUUGUCUGUUAAUUUCCAAAAGGAUUCCUAGCACCAUCACUAACAUAUAAAUUCAUGCAUUACAAACAUUCAUGUCCACUGGAAGUCUUGAACUUCUAUUAGGUUAAAACAAGGGUUUUAUUACCAAGAUUUUGUGCAUGACACCAAAACUCAUUCCUAGUUUAGAUCUAAAGCACCAAAUACCCCAAAUGGUCUGGAGAUUCAUAAAUUUGCAAACUUUAUGACAUCUCACCACCCAAACCCAUUAAGACUUAAAGAAUAAGAGAAAGGUUAUAACGAUCUAACACUUAGGAAGGAAAAGGUUGAGUCUUGGACACCCACCAAGGUCUAGAAGAUAGGCUAAAAGAUGAAGAUGAUGCUUGUAAGGUGAUUCUCCACACACAAUGCUUCUUUCUCCUUCCACUACAAGAAAACAACCCUUUAAUGACGUGCGAAAAAUGACACUCGCUUAUAGAGGACGCGCAUUUGUGCGUACCCUAAAAAAUAAUGUCAGUUUUGUAAAAUUUGAAGGAUAGAGGUCACACAUUUGUGCGCGCCCUAAAAUUAGUGUCAGAAAAGAAAAAAAAAAGAAAUGUGGAGGGCGCCUUUCAUAAAAUGUGCGUCAUGUAAAUGUGUCGCUUUAUAAUUUUUAAGUGAGACACGCAUUUUAGGUGGGAAAUGAAAUCCAUGAAAAUUACUCCCGCCUAUUGGAUCCCAAAAAUUAAUCCCCCCGCCUCUUCUACUUAGCAAGAAAAAGCCAUAGGUCCUUCAUCUUCAUCAGCGGUGGCAAUACCUAGGUCGAUUCUUCAGGGUUCAACAACAGAUUUGUAAACAACAAAUGUAUACGAUUCUAGAUCUCGGCAUGAUUAUGGCGCUUUGGAGCUGGCAAUGUGAACAUCAUUCGUGAGAAAAGUUCAUACAAAACUCAAGAAUUUCUAUGGCUUCGAUUAUUGAGUGAGGUACUGGGAGGUGUAAUCGUUUCAGACUCUUUACUAAUUGAGUUGAAAUUGAACCCUAAAAACUCAAUCCACACUUCGAACAUCUCUGAUUCUCCCUUCUUUCGCUCCCCAAUCCCCUUGGUGGUGCUCUUUCCAUUUCCAUUUCCAACCUCAAACCACCGCUAAAUGGAACCCAACAAUUCAAUCAAUCAAAUCGACAAUCACAUCGACGAUGAUAGUGAUCAUAACUCAUUUCCAAGCCACCGUCAUCAGAUCAUCACCUAUUCAAGAAAGAGAAAACACUCUUAAUCUCUGGUAAUCACAACAAUCGAUUCAACACAAGUAAACCCUCUUUCUGAAUCAUCAGUUCUAGGGAUUUUUGUCCUUGCUCAUACGUUCUCAUACGAUAUUCAAAACCUCACUGAGUCUCUCCUUCUCGAAAUCCUUGCAAGAUUUCCCCUUAAGUCAAUUUUUAGGUUCAAAUGUGUUUGCAAACACUGGCUAGACCUAAUUUCUCAGCCUUCAUUUGCCUGUUUCUAUUGCUCGCGUAUGCUCACAGCCAGCGCAUCGUCGUCAUCCUUACCUUUCAAAAAAAUUUAUAGCUAAAUUUAAGUGUAGAAAUUCACAAACUUUCUUGAUCUAUCCCAUCCGGAGACUUACAAUUCCUCAGAUUUCUCGGUACUUUGCUCUUUCAAAAAAAAUAAGCAGGUAUUUUUCUAUGUUCUUGUGGUCUCUUUAUGUAAUGUCCAAAAAAUUCGUACCAAAAAAUUUUCUUUAAAUCAUUACUAAAUCCAUAUUCAUAAAAACAUGUCAUAAACCAUACAUAAUUUAGAGUAUUAAUUCCAAAACAUAUUUUCGUUAUCAGAGUAAAACAUCCCAGGCCGACUAAUCAAUGGUGUGUGCCAUGAGAUCACCNNNNNNNNNNNNCUACCGAAAGUACCUAAAACCAAAACUGAAAACCAUAAGCACGAAGCUUAGUGAGUUCCCCCAACCUACCACAUACCAUGCAUAAACAUAUACUACACCUACUGGGCCACGCCCGCUAUUUCGGGCCUCGCCCGCUACCUCGGGCCUCGCCCACUACAACAACCCCGCUGCUCCAAGCCCCGCCAGGCUUCGAGCCCCGCUCGGAUACAAAUCUGUUUCUCUUAGGCCCCGCCUAUCUCUGGGCCCUGACUGCUAACCACAUAAUACAAAAUAGAAUAUAACACAUAACUGAACAUUCCUACUGUAUUCUUGUCCUAAGGCCUCGCCUUUCUUGGGCCUAGACCCUAUUGUUGGAUUAAUGUCGAAGUCCAUAACUAUAUUUGGUAUGUACUUGACCCGACCCGGCAUGGUCCAUUUGGUUUGCACUUCACCGACACAAUUUAUAUGGAUAAUCUUUUGAGAAUAGUAUGUUUAUGAUUAAUAUUAAUAUAUUAUAAUUUCUAAUAUAUUAUUAUGGAAUCAUAUUAUUUAAUUAGUAUUGAUCAAGAAUUAAUUUAUAAUUAAUUAAGUGAUCAAAAGCAACUAAUUAAAUAUGGACUCUUAUAUAUAUGGAAUGGGCCAAGUUCAUUUAGGUUGGGCUAAGUAUUUAUGGAUAGUCCAAGGAGUGUUUAACCCAUGGAUCCUAGGAAAUGAAAGGUCAUGGGUAUUAGGGUUUAACCCUAAUCCUCCACACUAUAUAAAGAUGUCCUUGGUUGGUGAAAUGGGCACUAGUGUGGUACACUAAGAAGGGCUAGCCAAUUUCACUAGAGAGAACCAAGUAUCCAUAUUCUCUAAAGUCUUCCAAGGUGUUUUGGUGAUUUGUGAUUCCAUUUGAGGCUUCCACACUAUUGGGGCUAAGCUCUUAAAGCUUGAAGACAUCAAGCUACAUCAAAAGGUAUGUCAUCUAACUAGUACUUUGUAGAUUAAGAACAUCAUAAUAUGCUAGUUAGGAUUAAAGCCUUGGAAAGUUCUUAUUUGCAUGUAUAAUAGAGAAAACAUAGAUCCAAGGUUUAUAGGGUUGCAUGUACACCAUAGGAGUGUUAGAAUGCUCAAAACCCAACAGUGGUAUCAGAGCCACGGGUUGUUUUCUGUUAUAUUGAUGCAAAUAUUUUAUUUUCAAAGUUGAAAAAAAAGGAAAAAAAAAAAUGAAGUUUGUCAAAUUUUAAGAUAAUUACUUGUUCUUGUGAAAAACUAAUUAUUUGUAAAAUUUGAAUAAUUUGCUUUAUGAGUUGAAUUAGGUCAAAUUUAAUAAAAGAUAAAAUAAUAUGAUUAUUUUAUUAGUUUUAAAAGUUUGAUCUAAAGAGUUUUAUUUUUUGAAACCUCCAUAAGUUAUGGAUAUGAAAAGGUUUUAAAAAAAAAAUGAUUCAAAGUUUUUAUGGAGUUACAAAAUUUGGUGUUAAUGUUUUAAAGGAUUCCAUAACUUAAGAAUAAGUUAUGGAUCACCAAAAGUUUUUUGUGUUACCUUGUUUUAUGAGUGAAUUUAGAUUAAUGAAUAAAAUUAUGUGAUAGUUGGUUUUAAUCCAAAUUAAUCUAAGAAUUGAUUCUAAAAUGUGUUUUUGUAACUUGUCCUCAAGUUAUAUGAAAAGUCACAUUUAAGAAUCAUAAAACUCAUAAAAAUUGGCAAAGGUUACAAAAAUGAAGAGUCUAGUUCUAAUUAAAUGGUUUUAUGACUCCAUAACUUGUCCUCAAGUUAUGGAGGACCAAGAGUCUCUUCAUUUAAUAAAAUAAAAUAAAAUAAAAAAAGGUGUAACCUUAAUUAAUUCCAUAAGUUAUAAAAUAAAGAAAAGUUAAUUCUUUUAUUAGUUUAAAGUCUUCCAUAACUUGUCCUCAAGUUAUGGAACUUGAAGAGUUUUUGGAUUAAAACUACUUUAAACACAUAAGUUAUGGAAUUAAUUAGUUUUGAAUAGUUUCAAAACUUGCCCUCAAGUUUUGGAAUUUGUAAAGUUUUCACUUAUGAAUACUUUAAUUCCAAGUUAGCCCUUAGAAUUUUAAAAGUUAAAAUUCAACCCUUAUACUUUAUAAUAUUAUAAGUUAAUAAUAUAUAUAUGUAUAAGAGUAAAGUCAGUCUUACCGCUAGUACGCCUCAUUCACGAAGCCGGUCUAUAAGGUGGGUAUAAGGUUGUUGCCUAUAAAAUGGCAACUUAAUGGGUGUCCACUCUCACCCACCGCUUGCUUGACUGGUGGAGGGUCGUUAGCCGAACGGGUUUGACAGGACUAGAAUUCUCCCUUCAUUAAAAGUAUUAAUGAUAAUACUAAGUAACUAAACUCUUAAUAAUACCCAAUCUUAGUUACUUAGGAAAAAUGUGAAUAAGGUGCUAAUCCAUGAAAUUACACUUUACACUUUGUCUAAGUCGUUAGUGGAGCGUGUGUGGUUAACCGGCACACUAACUUGGACUUAACAAGGUAGGUAAAGGGUGACUUAAUAUUUAUCAUAGUAUCGAUGGAGCGUGUGUGGUUAACCGGCACAUCGAUUGAGGGGUAAUUUAUUAAGGGUACCAAGUGAUUUGCAUGGUUACUUCACACCUUGUUUUGUGAUCCUCGGCAUCCCAGUCACAAAACCUGAAGGGCACACUCGAG